rnacentral:lncRNA from 1 species
AAAUAGUCAAAAUUGGUCAAUGGGUGGGAGAGGUAGAAAACAAAAUCAGCACUUUAGGAAAUGAAGAAGGAGGCUACGGGUGGGGGAUAAGGAAAAGGAGAAAAAAGAGGAACAGGAGAAAGAGAAAAUGUGAAGGAGAACAUGUUUUCUUCCUUUCUCAUUUUUCAUCUUACACAAGCCAAAAAUACAAAACAAUCAAACCACUCUCCCACCCCCUUACUCUGCAAAAUCCGAAAUUGGGAGAAAGAAAUAGGAGGAAGAAGAAGAAGAAACUAAGAAAGGUAAUUAUUUAAACCUCGAUUAUUUUUGGAUUUAAGUUUUUAUGGAUUUUGUGUAAAGAGAUUAUAUUUAUGCUUGUUUUGGAAUGAUUUAAACUUGAAUAAACAAGAGAAAUCAUGAAAUCAAAAGAAAUUAACUUUGCCGGAAUAUCUCGGAAAAUAGUUUGUUUAACGCCAAUAUGUGAGUUGUUUUCAAAACAAAAACCAUGGUUGGACUCCUAAAAUAUAGUAGAUCUGAUCUAGGUAGAAAAACGCUGAAAAACUCACCGGAAAACUGUUUGGACCGCCAGAGAAGAUGACUAGAAAGUCGCCGCCGGCAAACUUUCUGACAUAACCUUUUUGAUCCAUUUUUGGCCGUAAUUUGGAAAUAUUUUGAAAUAAAAAGUUGUAGAGAAUUAAAUUUUAUGUGAAAUGGAUAUAAGAUUUAUAUUUUUCUGAUAAAAAGGCUAAUUAUUAUGAAUAUUUGAAGUUUCAUCAUAUUGGAAAUUAUAAAUAAAUUAGUGAAAAUAAUUUUUGGCCUGAAAUAAAUUUAAUGUAAUCUUAUAAUAUUAUUUAUGAAUUACUAUAAAUUUUUUAAGAAUUAUUGAAAAUCAAAAGUAUUUAUUAUAUUUUUAAGCCAUUUAAAGUUGGUUUAAAAUGGUGGAAAUUCAUUGAAAAUUCUAUUAAUGAUGAAAAAUUGUGAAACUUCUAUAAUAUUAUUUCAUAAUUUCUGGAAAGUUUUGGAGAAUUAUUAAAGGGAAAAAGUAAUUAUUGAAUUUUUAAGCUAUUUAAAGUUAGUUUAAAAAUUAGUGGAAAUUCAUAGAAAAUUCUAUGAAUGAUGGAAAAUUAUGAAACUUGGUUGAAAAUCCUAUAAUUUUUUUCAAAAUUUCUGGAAAUAUUUGGAAAAUUAUUUAAGGGCAUAAGUAAUUAUUGAAUUUUUAAGCUAUUUAAAGUUAGUUUAAAAAUUAGUUAAAAUUCAUAGAAAAUUCUAUGAAUAGUGAAAAAUUAUGAAAUUUGCUGGAAAAUCUUAUAAUAAUAAUAAUAAUAAGAAGAAGAAGAAGGAGUUAGCUUUUCUCAAUCUUUAGCUAGCUAAGAAAGAAAAUAAGAGCAUCAAAGGUAAGAAAUCCUAGAAACUCGUCUUCUUCAUUUUAUUUCUUUUAAAAGCUUUGUAGCAAUAUGACAUGACGUGCUUUGUUAGUGGAUGUUGUUGUUUGAUAAUGAUAAUUAAAGGAUCUUGGAGAGAUAAGGCCACUUGUGGUUUAGAUAUCUUAAAUCACUUGUUAACAUGUAUAAAAAUUGAAAACGAUACCAAAAAUCGUAAGCCUUAUAAGCGUAAAUGAGGGAAAAUAAUGUAGACGACUUCAAUAUUGGACUUGUAAAGGUUUUGUUUGUUUAUUGUUUGUGAAAUUCAACAAGAAGGAUUUUUAGAUAAAUAAGUUCUGGAGAAGUUUCAAGUGGAAUGGAGGAAAAAUACGCUAUAACGAAGUUAUGGCGAAAUUUUUUGUAAAAGGUGUCAAUCUUGAAAAAUCCUAGCUUGGUACCCUUUGUGGGCAAAGUGUAUGGGUGGUUAAUUUUUUCGAAAAGUUAUUUCUUUCCGGGAUAAUUUUAGUUGGGUGAAAACGUGAGCCAUGGUCUUAAGAAUGAGCUCAAUCCGACUUUGGAUGAGCGCGUUACGAAGUUUAGAAAAUUCGACGUUACAGCGUCAUUUCGGUGAAAAAGUGUCUCACGAGAGAGUUUUGAGCUAAUUUCCUGAAAAUUUAGAGAAUUGGGAAAAUUUUAUUUUCCGGGGGGGAUUUGAGAAUUUGUUACAAGGAAGAAAUAGAAGCAAGAACGAGCUCAUUCCGAUAUCGGACGAGUAAGUUAUGAUGUUUCAAAGUAGGCGCGUUGAAAUUGUCCGAAACCAAAAAAUUAUUAAAAUCAAAAAUUUUGGCCAAGAAAAUCCCUACCUCGCAGAGCCUAGAGCGCUAGUCUAGGCUUAUUUGAGCGCCUAGAGAGCGGGCCACUUUUAGGCCAAAAGUCAGUCUGAACAUACUUCACUAAAUCGGGCAUAACUUUUUCUUAUGAAAUCCGAUUGAAGUGAUUCAAGAUGAUCUAAAAAGAUAAGGAGUAGAUAUAAAAAUUUCAUUUUUUAAGUUUUGGUAUUUGAGGUCGGGAGCAGGGUCCAAAUUGGGCAUUUGUAGGGCUGUUAUGCAAUAGGAGGAAAACCAUGGUGGUUUCUUUGAACCAUUGUGGUGGCGAGCCAUGUUUGACUAGUAUUUUAGAGUUCUAAACAUUGGACAUUGGGAACAUAGUCUAGAAAAAGGUAAACCAAGGAAUAAUAGAUGUUUUGGACGUAUUAAUUGUACGCAAUGGCGUGUUGGUUAAGCGUUCAGGGUAUAAAAGUCGAGCAUACGACGUACGAACAUCGAAACGCCGAGUCGAAUAUUAAUGAACUUAAAAUAAUGCUCUGAGUUUAAUGAACUGAACAUUAUAAAACAUGGAAUAGGGUUAUAAUAAACCAUGAGUGACAUUUAUGCGUGACUAAUUGAUAUGUCUAUGUGCACUGAAUGUGUAGGACUUUCAAAGGGCGGUUAACGUCAAUGUAUAAAAGACGCUUGCGGUAAGUUUCCUAAACUUACUUAAAUUUUAUUGAGCAAGUAAUCUAACUCCAUUCAACUUUCAUUUAAAUGUCAAUUUUUGAGUAUACACUACAAAAAAAUGGGGCUUCAGCUACAACCGAUUUUCGUUGCUAAAGGUGCCAAAUUUCGUUGCUAAAGGGUUUUGACAACGACUUUACUGUCGUUGCGUCUUUCGUUGCGCAAUGAGCGUUGCUAAUUGUUCCGCAACGAACGUAUUUUUUUCGUUGCCAAAAGUAAUACAUUUUGCAACGAAAUUUGGCUUUCGUGGAGAGACAUCGAUCCUUUAGCAACAAAAUGUAUUGUUGCAGAAUAAUUAAUAUUUCAUUGCUAAAAACCCCAUUUCGUUGCAAAAGCCUUCUAAUUGGCAACGAAAUAAAUUCUUUUUUUUUUUGCAACGACCAUGCAUUUUCGUUGCAAUUGACACCAUUUUGCAACGACAUUUUUCGUUGCACUAAAUUAUGAAAAUUGUUGCCUAAGCUUGCUUUCGUUGCGGAAUGUAAACUUUUUAGCAACGAUUUUCGUUACUAAUUAGAUUAUUUGGCAACGACAUUAUCCUGAAUCAGCAACUAAAAUAUUUGUUGCUGGUUAUUUUUCAAUAGCAACGAAAGUCGUCGAUUAGCAACGAUAUUAUAUGUUGUCGUUUCUUUAUAUGUGCAACGAAAGUUAAUAUGAUUUGCAACGAUAAAAAAUGUUGCCUUUUAUGUUAGUAUUAGCAACAAUAUCCUCUUCGUUGUUAUUAGAUUAAUUUUUCGUUGUCAAAUAUUAUAUUUUUAAUGCCAUUAGCAACGAAAAUUUGUUGCUAAAUGUAUAAAAAAUUGUUGCUAUAUUAAAACUUGUUCAAUGCCUUGGUAACGAAUUAUAUUGUUGCCAAAUCAAAAAACUAAAGCUACCACAUAAUAUUAAAUAUUAUAAUGACAAAAAUACAAAAAACUAAAAUAUUAUUAACUUAAUAAAAUCAUCCACUACAUAAUCAUUCAUUAUCUUUACAAUUAACUAUCUAAAGCUACCACAGUUCUUCAAUCAAAGUAUAUAUCUACAUAUAUAGAAAGAGUACACUUCAUAAUUUAAUAAAACAUUCUUCAGUAGAACAAAUUUUUUUUAUCCAUGACAAAGCAUUAGCAUUGGCAUUGGGUUAACCAGCUUCCGCUGAGUAUCUAAGAAUCUGAAAUGUUGUUCUCUACCAGAAUGCUUCCCAGUAGUGAUUCACAAGCAUCUUCAAGUAAAUCUAAAACCUGCCAACCAAUAUAUUCGAUAGGAUCAAGCAUUAUCUAGAAAGUAAAAGGCUUCUCAGCAGUAGCUUCAUGCAUAUAGAGUAUUUUGAAAUUAAUUUGGACGAAGCUAAAAGUAGGAUACUAACAAAUAGUUUAUGUUAACUGAACCAAAUAAACAUGGGCACAUAAUCAGCUUGGACUCUGUCACUUAAAAAAACAAAGUUAGACGGGAAGACUAAUAUCAAUAACAUCAUUGCUCAUCUAGUAGAACUUCAAAGAAAGCCAGAGAACUAUAUUGGCCUUAAAAAUUUGCUAAAUUUAUGAUGUUCAAGAAUCACGAUUGAUGACAUUCAGGAAAGAACGUUAACAAAGGGGAAGAUUAACAUCAAUCGAAAAAAAUAACUUGAAAUGCAGCACAGAAAGGUAAAGCAUAGAGAAGUAAAUGAAGAAGCAAGAUUGCACGGCAGCAAGGAAAGUUGUAAUCUGACAUAAGAAGAAAUAAGAGACCAUCCCGACCGGACAUGACAAUCUGUGAACAGCUUUUCUGCAAGAGUAGGCUCAGAUGCAGCCUUGUUAGGUGCCUUCUCUGAUGGAGCUACAUGUAUAACACCUUCACCAGACUUUGAAAUGAUUGCUAUCUUGGUACCUGGUUCCACAGUGUCACCUUCUUUGGCUACAAACUGAAAAAAUUACAUGGGCAAAAAUUAAUUACACAGAAACAUAAUAGAUCUUCAAACAAACAAAAAAAGAUAACAUCAAAGAGAUUGUAAUUAACUGAUACUAUGGACCCUACUAAAAUUUAAUAAUUUACCUCUUGGAUGACACCCGUUUUGGGACUUGCAACAUCAAUUGUCACCUGAAUGAAGUAGCAGAAACUAUUUAGACCAGACAAUGAUACUUGCGAUGCUGCAGAAAUGCUAAGUUCAUAAUACUACCUUAUCAGUUUCAACUUGGGUGAUCGGCUCAUCAAUAUUAACAUGAUCACCUGGUUUUGCUCCCAGUUAUCAUAGAAUGAGUUCAAGACACUCACAACUCACUAACUUAACAAUUAGGUACAUAUUUUCAUCAGUGCAGAAUUGAACAAUAUAUGACAACUUACUUUUCAGAAAAGCGGCUAGAGUGCCAUCAGUAAUGGAUUCACCCAUAAAAGGGACAACAACAACAACCAGCUCACCUUCAUUAUAGAAAAGGAUAAAAUGAGCUAUGCAGAUCUUAAAGUAAUCACAAUGGAUGUUCAAGAAGGAAGAGUCAAAAGAAAAUAUGAAAUAUCAUACCACUAUCCGAUGAAAAUGACCUACUCUACAUCAAGACAGAAUUAUUUGUUUGAAGAAAUGAUACGACAUCCCUGUGGCCACAAAAAUAAUUUAGGAAAGAAAUGUUAAGGAACUACGUUCGCCUUUGUUUUGUUCCCUCUUUGUUCAUCUUGUUUAGCCAUUAAUGAUGUGCAACCAAGUAAAAACUCAUAAGUCGGAUAUUUAUAAGUGAAAAAUCUUCAUCUGGUUAUUCGGUCCAAGAUUAAUGAGAGCUAAAUAAGUACUAGCAAUAAGAAGAUCUCCAACACCAACUAAAAUGAUUGACAAGGGGUAUUCACUGUAAAGUAAAAAAGAGCAUUUUUCAGUAUUUGGGUCACAAAAUCAUCCACCCAUCAAAAGUCAAUCUGAAAACUCACCUAGCUUUCACAAUUGCCUCAAUAGUUUUCCUUUCUUGGGGGCUUAACUGGCCAUGUUCAGUAUCAACACUUCUUGUCACCUAUCAUACAUUAGAGAAUGAAUAAUUAAAGCAAACUCGUAGUUUAAACUCCAGUUUUAUCCAAGUAUGCAUUAGAAAACAUACUGGCACAUCAAAAAGCAGUAAGCUAGUAAACACUUCAAUGGUUCCUCUAACAAGUUACACCACACCUUAUUCUUAAGAAAGAGAAUAGCACACCAAAAGUCACAUGAAGAUGUUCGUAGAACUUAUUUUGAUGAGUAAAACACUUAGAAGCCAAAAUGAUGAUACAUUAUAAAACUGUGCAAUAUAUGACUACGUAACGAAAAAAAUGCAUUUGAUGACCUAAGAAGAAUAGUAUGCUUACUCAAAUUAAAUGUCCACAUUGCUAUGAACUUUUCUACAUGACCAUUUGCAAAAACCAAUUUCAAAAGCGAGCCAUCUACCAAUAGUCUUUCAAGGAAAUGCUCUCCUGCAAUAACAUAUCGAAUUCAUUUGUGAGUUAGUAACGUGUAUGUAUCCAUGUGAAAUGUACAAAAACCUGUUUAUGUAUCCAUGUGAACAGGAUAGAACCAAUAAGAGAGUUGUUUAUUUUGACUAAACUAAAUAAUUAAGCAUAAUUCAAAUGUUUCAACUUUGAUAAGAUGAAAGGCAUACCUUAUUUGAUGCUAGUUCUGAUCAUCUUUCUCUUCCUCGUCCAUACUUUGUUCUUCUUCGCUACGAUAAUGUACAGGUGUAUCAUCCUCACUACACCCCUCGUCGAAUUCAUCCUCCUCAAAAUCAUCCUCAUCGACAUCAUCAUCUAUGUCUCCAUCCAAUAAGAUAUUGUGUUCAAUGUUAAUUUUUUGAGUUCUUUGUCUUAAGAUAAUGUUAUUUAUUGUUUCUGCAUAGUGAUAAACAUAUUUUCUGUUACAAGACUUGUAGAUUAUUAUUAUAUGUUGACCUCAAGUCAGAAUUCAGUCACAUUCAACAACCACAAGCAUCACACAAUCUUAAAUAAUAAUGUUUAGAUUUUUAUAUAGAAAGGACAACAAUUAUGAAAAAGUUGAGACUAUUAGUCAAUGUGGAAAAACUUUUCUAGAGAUGACAAAUUUCCAUACAGUAUAUGCCCCAAAGAUGCUAGCUAUAAUUACAGACAUCAUAGAUUUAAUUACACAUGAAAUUCGUAUUGAUUGCUAUUAUAUUAUUUAUAAUCCAUGAACAUGUCUAUUAACUUAAUUAGAAAUUAAUAAAUAAUAGACUUUCAGGACAAGAUCUAGAAACAAACCAAUACCAGCUUUAUUGUUCACCUGAACUGUUUAAACUUUUACGCUACCUUGUGACAAUAUCAGGGUAUCCUGCACCUCAACUUAUUGAUUUCUGGAGGAACAUUAUCAUACCUGAGCAAAAAGUAACUUGCAUUAAGAAUUCAAAGUGAAUACUCUAACAACAAUCUGACCAAAUAGAACAAUACUUCAUGAAUUCGUAACAUACCCAAGUCGAUCAACAAAGAGUUUUAGGGCCAUUAUCUUCUUCUCCGGAUAGUUUUGUUGUCCAGUUCCCAGUCUGGGUAGUCCUACCAGCCGGUUCGAUUUAGUUCCUAAAACAUUGGUGUCAAUAACCAAUACUUGCACUCCUCAGAAAUGAAAAAUAAUUGUGCUGCUUAAAAUAUUAUAAUUAGUAAAACAUUCAGUGAGAUUGACUAUAGUAAAGUCCAUAACCAACUUGUCUGUCAUCAUGGCAUAAUCACAUGUGAUGGAUUCUUGUUACCUAAACUCCCCUCAACAUUUCUCUGUACCAAUCUCCUCUCAAAAUUUAUAGGUCCCAAGAUCAACAUGUAUACUUUUAGAAAAUGACAUGAAAUCUCACGUGUUGAAUAAUAUAGACUAUAUCAACGGAUAUGCAUAUGUUUGCUAUAACUGGAUAGUACAUCUACUGAAAUGGUGAAUUUACCUUCCCAAAAUUUGAACAAAAUAAAAAUAAAGAACCACCACUGCAGAUAUCAAGACGCAAGAAAAACGAUUGUAUAAGAAGUCAAUGACAUCAUGUAGAUUUAACAUUGAUGAUGACAAACAUUUCUAAUUAAUAAAUCAUGUUAAAUAAUUACAUAUACAAACUGUAAAAUAGAUUAAAAGUUUAGGAUAAACUUACAGCAAAUGGUUCACAUUCAUUCCAUUGUCUAGCCAAAUCAAUUUCCUUCAAACCAUGGAGACCAAGACGGCGUAGUUCAGACUCGCUAAACUUCAUAAAAAGUAAAUAUUUCUCAGCAUAUGUAGUCUUCUCAACUCCAAUAAUUGGAUUUAAAGAAACUCCGUGUAAGGCAUCACUGUGUACGACAGUGUGUGUGAUGGUAAAGAUGAUAUCAAAAAAAUACCAAUUCUUUGAAUAAAGGAGCGGGUGUCCCAAUUACAUGACCAGCAGGUAAGAGAUCCCAGGGUUUAAUUGCUCUGCCUAAAUCUCCGUUCUCAUCACAAAGCAAUAGUAUAUUCUCAGGAGGCAAGUUGAGUUGCUUUAGUACCUUGAUUGGCAUAACAACAGAAGAAAAUCAGUGAAAGAUCAAUUUAAACGGCUCGUGCUUGUAAAAUUAUGCAAUGCAUACCUCAAUAGUAAAUGAUGGCAUGAAAGGUUCUAACAAGCAAGCUAUUAAAUAAACAGCCCAACUGAAGUUCUUAUAAUAAUAGAGCAGGAAGCUUCAUCUUCCUUGUACAGCUUCCAAAAUUUUGUAUUCUACAUUUAAAAGUGGAAUAAGUGAUGAUCCAAUGGUUCUUACUCAGAGAAUCUUUUAUUUAGCUUAGGGUUUUUGAUUGAAUAUUCUCGUGAUUCUAGUAUGAAUCUGAGGUUUUUUAAUGGAUUCAUAGGGUAGGGUCUUAACAAGAGAAUUCCGAUCAGAAAAGAAAGAAUAAAAAAAACAUUACACAAAACAAAAUUCCAAAAAGAAAUAGGGAUUGAAAGGAUUCAAGAGGCCUGUAGAGAAAAAACAUUUAUCCAAAAGAUUUAUUCAUUACUACUACAUAAAGCACUACAUUACAUAAACAACCACAUAUGCCUUUACUAGAGCUUUCAAAGCAUUAUGCUAACUACAUAAAUUCUUUUCGAAACAGAAAUAAGUCAAAGGAUAGGCCUUAACAAGUAGAAAGAAGAUAAAGUAACUACUUUUUAAAAUUUCUUCUAGUCUUCCCGGUCACCGAGGGUGACAGCCCGCACAAUGAGUGCUUGCUGCUCCUCCCGCAGCGCUUGCAGCCUCCUCUCCAAAUCCCUUAUGUUCUCUCUGGCAGCGCGAAUGCGUUCUUCUGCCUCUGCUGGAUCUCUUGCUCUAACAUUUCUCAAAAAGAGGUUUAGCGCUCUACGGCGCUCUUGAAUUUCAUUUUUCAGUUGCCCCAUUUCGGCAGCAAUUGCAGAAAGCCUGUUUGUAGCAGCCAUAGCCAUACGUGCUAGUACUCAAUUUCUUUGAUUUGAAUUUGAUGAAGUGAAGACACUUAUCGAGCCUCCAUUUAUAGAGUGGUAGAGGAAUCUCGCCAUGCGUCACGAAUUGGAUGGCAGGCACAAUUCUUACUAGUUCUCCACACUACUUUUCUGUUUUGCAGUUGAAUCAUGCCUAUUUUGUGAAAAACUGGCUGGCUCUGGCUACCUUGCGGAGCAAACAAAAUCCCCCCAAAUCACACUGCCUGUAUGAACAAACAAACUUUGUACAACCAGCUUACGUAGAAAAUCUUCCAUAUUCUAUGCCAAUAGACUCGUGACAUCCAUGUACNNNNNNNNNNNNNNNNNNNNNNNNNNNNNNNNNNNNNNNNNNNNNNNNNNNNNNNNNNNNNNNNNNNNNNNNNNNNNNNNNNNNNNNNNNNNNNNNNNNNGUACCGUGCAAAAAAGUUUUGGCUUCCGCGCGCGCGCGUAAGAGUUGAACGCUUUCCCCUCCGAGCUGCGCUCUUCCUCCCUCGGGGAGGUGAGCUCAUUAGCUCCUUAGCUCCUUAGCUCUAGCUCUAAACUCGUAGCUCAGUAGCUCCUUAGCUCAGUAGCUCUAAGAAAGAAAGGUAGCUCUAGUCUAUCGCUCCGUUCGCUCCACUCACUCUCGAGACAAGAGAUGACAGGAAUGCAAGUAAAGAUCCAAGCUCUUCUAAGGGGGUUAUAGGUGAGGAUACUGAAGUUAUUGAGGUGGAUACUCAAGGUCUUAAUCCAAUUCCAAGGGAUGAGACUCCUGAUGCUGGGACUGAUGUCAGUCAUGAAGGAAACUUGCAAGAGGAGCAUCAUGAGAAUGGUAAUGACAAUCAUGAGCAACAAGAUGUUGAAGGGUUAAACUUAUCCCCUAGGGCCAUUCCUGAUGAUUCUGGUAAUGAUGGAAUUGGGCCUUCUUUGAACAAUGUUUGCCAGGUUUAACAAACAGAAAUGUGAAGUCAAGUUCCAAAAGUCAAUAUAUUUACAAUAUAAAGACUUACUUGCAGAUAUGCAUUUCCUUCACUUGAGAUACUCAUUCCGAUUUUAAGUCCUUGCUUUAGUUUAAUCUAUGUCACAUAAUAUGAAAUGCAGUAUAGAACAAUUAAGUUCAACUUAGUUGUGAUAAAAAAAAUUCUGUCAGAGUUGCAUCAUUACCUUCUCCAUGUCCUCUAAAUAUUGUUCCACAUAUUUACCAAUCUUUUCCGCCAACGACUUUGUCAAGAAAUGAGUUUAUACCCUGGGAGCAUCCAGGAUUACAGAUCCAUAUCCUAGUCCUGUGAAGGAACCAUAGAAGGUAGAGAGAAAUGUAACAAAGAUAAGGCAUGUGGGGUGAGAAGUAAGGUUUCGCAUGACCCAGGAACAACUGGGUUUAAUUCUAGAUUACAGCUCAUUAUCCUUCGAGUUUUUUAAGUUCCAAUGAUAACCCAAGGAAAUAGAUAAAUGAACAAUGAACCUUCAAAAAAAGCAUGUAGUAGCAGAACUUAACCACAAAAUGGUGACUAACCUUGGGGUUUGGCGAUGAAGGACAAGACCCGAUUAACAUAAUUGCCCAAAUUAUUCAGCAACUCAGUGUUUAAUUUUGCUUGCAAGUCCUUCCAUGUGAAUAGUGUGUCUGAUGCCUAAAUAAGAUGUAUGAACGUAAAAAUUCUCUUAGUAAUAAGAUAUAAUAAUGGAGUUGGCAAAUUGUUAACAAAAUAUAGAGUUAAACAAUAAAUUCUAUAUUAACAAAAACACACCUCAGGCUUGUUAGUUAGCAAGUAAUAUCGCCAGACCUCCGCGGGAAUUUUUGUAUCUUUAGCUUCAUUUCCAAACACUCCUACUCCUUUACUCGUGGAAAACUUUCCUGCAUAACCAAGAAUUUAUCAAGAAAUAUAUGAGGGGACAUCCUAAAAGUUUUUUUUUUUUUUUGCACUCACCUCCCACAAGCCAGGGUGUCAAAAUAAUCACUAGUCAGGUUCAAUGGCCAUAUAUUAAUAUCCAUAUCAGAAAGCACACCUGAUUAUAGUUCAAAUAUUCUGUCACGCUAAUGCUCUUCAUCAACGUCCACUUUUCUCCAGUUCCAAGAAGUGUAGAAGGAAACAUCGCCUGAAAUAAGAGAAAAAUAUGUUAAUACAAAAAGCAUACUUUAUAAUCAACUUGAAAUAUGCCCAAAGUAUACUAGCCUCUUUUUAAAAGAAAAACCAACAUACAAUUAACAUCAAGAGUUUAAGCAUAAAUAGUGUAAAGCCUUGCCUUGAAAUUGAGGAUCAAAGUAAAAUCAGGUAAAAUAAUUCUUAUUCUGGUGUUUGGGUGAAAAGUUUUAUCUUCUAAUAGAAAUUGAAAAUCCAUCCGCAAUCAAGAGCUGGGCUCUAGCUAUAAAGAUGAAAUGUUGUACAUAUCAAGUGCGGGUGGGUUGUUAUUUUCUGAUAUUGCUGCAAGCAAAGAUGAUGAAUAACAACUGAACAUAAAGACUAAGCUAGCAUGGACACCCCUGAUGACACUUCACUAUUAGCAGCAUAACUAUUUAUUUCCCACCUCUUCCUGCUUCAUUAAGCACAUGAAAGCUGCAAAUUGAAAAAAGCACAUCAUGAUGUAUUUUCAAAAUAAAGAGGAGAGAUUCUAAAUUCAAAUCUCUUAUUGGUAAAUAUUAUAAAUCAAAUCACAAAAAAUGGGCUGAAACAGUGUACACAUGCGCUUAAUCCAUAUUUGCAGCAAUCCAAGUAUCAAGACAACAAUAUUAUACAAGUAUCAAGACAACAAUAUUAUCUAAUAGUGUACAAGUCUAGCACAGCUAUAAAUUCCAAAUACUUAUAAAUAAUUAAAGAGUAAAUAUAGUUGGACUUUGCCAAAAAAGUAAAUGCAAUACAACCAGAAAUGUAAUAUAGCUUUGAUAAGGAAAAAAAAUCAUCUGAGCCACAAGACCCUAUAAAUAUAAUUAAAGUUGUCCACCCCAUGAUUGAGAAAAUUGCAGUCAAAGUAGUGUCCACACUCCACCUUAUUCAUAUAAUCUAAAAAUAUUUAGAAAAUAGGCCAUUUUUGGGAAAAAUGAUGCCCGAAACCGCCUUUGGCUGUUUUAGACAUAUAGAUCUAAAAAAGAUACCCAAUUUCAAAAAAAAAACACCUCAAUCGGACAUCCGAGCGCAAAGUUAUGAUAGUUUAAAGUUUUUGCAUUAUGACACACAAUUUCAAAACGCAUUUUUCUUAUAUAUCUGUUUUCAUGACAUCCUUUUUAACUAUUUCAUCUUCAAGAUCUCGAAAAGAACUAUGAAAAUGACUACUCAUAAUGGUCAAACGCAUUACUGAGCAUUGAUUUAUGCUAAUUUAAAAAAUUUAUCCCAACAUACAACCUUUACCUUCAUUUGUGUAUUACUCGUUGCCUUCAUUUGUUCUGCCAACAAUCUAAUUUGAUCGGAUAACAAAAACCACAAGUAAAAAAGGAAGUAAAAAAACAAAAACCAUAAAAAAGCCCUAACAAAGUAACAAGUAACAGUGUAACACUCAUAUGCCAUAUAUAGACAAAUCGACAUAAAUAGGGAGAAAUCAAUUAACUAAAUCUCAAAAUAAACUCAAAAUUACCUAAGAAAAAGGAAGAUUCUGGAAUCUAGAGACUAGAGUUGGAGAGGCGACUGCGAUGCGGCGACUAGCGAGUCGGAGGUUGGCCGGUGGGAGAAGAAUUGAUGGAUCGUCGAGGUGGAGACUUCGAGAAUCGAGAUGGAUGGACUGUGUUCGUUCGACUGUUCUAGAAGGAGAGGACUGGGUCUGGGUUCGCGACUUCGCGUUCGACUGGUCUGUUCGAGAUGGGUCUGGGAGAGAAACUGUGAAGAAGAACCCCAAACUUAUGUAUGUAUGCUAUGAGAAGAUUACAGGGCGAUGAUUUUGUUUUGAUCGGCUGAGAAAAAGAUGUUUACAUGGAGUGAAGAUUAUAGGGGGUGAUGAUUUUUUUUAUGUUUUUAUCUUAUUAUUUUAAGUUUAUACAUAUUUUAACUUUUUUUAUUAUUUUAAUAUUAUACAUAUUAUAAAUAUUUCCAACUCAUUUUUUUAAAGUACAUUUUUAAAAUAUAAUAAAAUUAAAAUAAAUAUUUUAAUUCAUUUUCUAUAUAAUUUUUUUUCCUUACUUUUAAUAUUUUUUUUAUUUUUAAAAUUAAUUCCAAAUAAUACAAAUAAUAUUAAACUUUUUAAUAACUAAAUAUAAAAACAAAAAACAAAAUAAAAUAAAAAAAGGAUAAGCCAAAGAUGAAUAUUUUGAUUAUUUGUAUUAUUUAGAAUUAAAAUAAUUAAAAGAAAUGAAAAGAGAGAAAGGAAAAAAAAAUUAAAAAUAAUAAUGAGGUUUUGAUUGUAUAAUUAAUUUUAAUUUUUAUGUCAUUUGUUUAACUAAUUUUUGCUAAUUGUAUCAAAUUUUCUAUUUGAUGUUAAUUAUGUACCUACUUUUUUUAUAUCAUUAAAAUAUAUAUUAUUAUUAAUUUUUAAAAUAAAAAUAAUUAUUAAAAGAAAGGGAAAGAGAUAAGGAAAAGAAUACAAAUAAAGAAAAUGAAUUAAAAUAUUUAUUAUUAGUUUAAUUAUUUUUUGCCACGUAAUUAAUGAUUUUUGUAGACAUUAAUAUAAUGUUGUAAUAGAUCUCAUUGAUACAAAAAUUUUGAUAUAUUAUUUGGAAAAGAGAAAAGGAAAAGAAAAAGCCACAUAAUCAAUGAUUUUAUUUUAGUAUUUUUUUUGUGUUGCCACAUCUGAAAAUAAUAAUUUUUUGAAAUUUUUUUCAAUACCACGUGUGAUUAUUUGACGUCCGUCCAAGAAAUUGGAAGGAAUGGCUUGAUUGAAUAUUUUUAAAAAGUACAGUGAGCUAAUUGAAUAUUUUAAAAGCACAAUGACUAAUUGCUUAAAACACUACAACUACAGUGCUGUAAAAGUGUUUUUUGCCUUUUUUAAUAUUAUUAAAUAAACUGGUACGUUCGGUUCGACAUAUACCGAUCAAGCCAAAUAGCCUACCGAAAUCGAUCCCGAAAACCCGGUAUGUACCGGUUAUGUGUAUCGGUACCGAAUCGGUUCGUCUUUGCACCGAACCGACCGGUUCAAACCUGUUCGGUUUCCCUAAAUAUAAUAAUUAAUGUUUUAAAUUAUAAUUUGAGUAAGUUUUUAUCAUUUUUGAAAUAUUAAAUUUUAAAAUGAAUACUUUAAUUACAACUAUAUGUAGAAUAAGAAAAAAAUAAUAAUGAGUUUUAAAGUAUAGUAUUAAUGAAUGAAUAUUAAUUUAUUUAUUUUGAAUAAAUACAAUAAUCAAUAAUCUAAAUUACUAUUCAAANNNNNNNNNNNNNNNNNNNNNNNNNNNNNNNNNNNNNNNNNNNNNNNNNNNNNNNNNNNNNNNNNNNNNNNNNNNNNNNNNNNNNNNNNNNNNNNNNNNNUGUUGAUGCAUAGAUUCGAACCCAAGACCUCCAGUUUGGAAUAUUGAUCCAAUGACCACCCGAGCACCUGAGCCUAGUUGCUAUUAUUUUGCAAGGAUUAGUAUUUAGUACUAUUAUUAACAACAUUUUUAUAGUCGUUGCAAAAAGUUGUAUAAAAUAUGCAAAGAAAAUAAAAAAUGUUGCUAAUGAAUGUGGUCCAUAUUAGGCAACGAAAUAUAGCAACAAAAAAACUUUUGUUGCCCACGAUGAGGAGAAAUCAAGUGGUUACAAAUUUUGCAACGAAUUUCUAACGAAUUUUGUUUCCAAAUUUUGCAACUACUUAUAAAUUUCGUUGCAAAAAGUGAAAGUCCGACACAAUCUGUAACGAAGGACAAGUUUCGUUGCUAAACAUACACUUUUAGCAACGACUUAUAAUGUCGUUGCUUGAAAAAUCGUUGCUAAAGCCCCAGUUUUAGUAACAAAAAAACUUUUGUUGCCCACGAUGACGGGAAAGCAAGUGACCGAAAAUUUUACAACGAAUUUCUAACGAAAUUUUUUCCUGCCAAUGAAUUAGCAACGAAAUUUUGCAACGACUUAUGAAUUUCGUUGCAAAAAGUGAAAGUCUGAUACAAUCUGUAAUGAAUGACAAAUUUUGUUGCUAAACAUAUAUUUUUAUUACGACUUAUAAAGUCGUUACCCGAAAAAUCGUUGCUAAAGGCCCAUUUUUUUGUAGUGAUAUAUUCUUAUGAAUAAUCCUUAUGUACGCUUCGGUUUAUACACUAUUUAUCGAUUGUACAACCUUCGAACUUAUACAAACUCUAUGUUAAUUAUAUAAAUGUUCAACUAUGCUAUAAUUCUUAAAUUGUUUAACGAUUUGCUAUAAUGCAUAAAUUGUUCAAGUUUUGUAUUUACAUAAAUUGUUCAAGUUUUAAAGUUCUUAUAUUCAUGAACUAUUUAAAAGUUAUGUUAAUGACAAUUGUAUUGGCUAGAUAAAUGUUAAAACGUUUUAUUGAUUUAAAUACCAUUCUCUGAAAUGUUUUUUGGAUUAGGUAGAGUUGUCUUCCCAAAUUAUUUUGGGGUUCGUACUCCAGUCUAAGAUGAACAACCCUAAUAUUGAGGUUUUUUUUACGUUGAAAAAUCCCGACAAACCCUUGAGGUGGUCACAUAAACGCAUAUAGUUGUUUAGCCAGAGUGUUGUACAACAUAGGGUACACUGGGCUGAUCACCCAACGUGCCCGUAAGCUAGACCAGUUCAUAGUUGAAUUAUUGUUGAACCCUUGAGAAAAAAAAAUGUUCGAGGUCUUUGACCGCUCAGUACAUUGUUUCAAAAAUAUUAGAUAAAGUAGAAAUUUAUUAUUUUUAUUCUUAUUUAUUUGGAAUGCUUUCACGACUAUUAUUUAAUUGUAGUAAUAGGAGCAUGAUUCUUGAUUUUGUUGUUUAUUCAACUGUUUAUACUUGAUGAGCUUUGUAGCUUAUCCUUGCUUUAAAUUAAAUAUUUUUCAACGAAGCUAGAGCAGAUUGAAGGGUCCUAUAAGGAUAAAGGGAAAGGAAAGGUAGACGAGUAGAAGAUAGCUGUAAAUAUUUAUAAUAAUUAGUAGUAUUGUAAUAACUACUUAAUACUUUAUCAUGUGUUUAAGACUUAAAGGUUUGCGAACCUAGGAUUUAGAGUGAGACAUAUUAUAAUAAAUAGAUUUGCAUUUAUGUCAUUAUAUUAUUUUACAUGAGAAGUAUCGUGGAACAUCAUAUUCAAAGUUUAAAGGAAUUCAGAUUUGAGGGUGUCACAGGUUGGUAUCAGAGCUAUAUGCACAAUUUGGUGUGAAGAGCCUCGAGCUUCUCGCUGGUGACGUCCCUAGAAAAGGAGGCACGAAAACUAGACUCUUUGUAGGGGACACCGUAAUUUGAAGGUGGCUAGCUAAUAGGUAUCCCUGUGAGGUGCUAUGGUAUAUCCAUGAGCGUCACAGAUUGGUAUUAGAGUUGUAGGUUAGAAACCUUAGGUGAGAACACUUUAGGCUAUAACCUUGGAGGAAUUAGAGCAGUAGAGAAGAUAGUAAGAAGAUAAACUCAAGACGAGUUUUUAGGAGAUGAAUUACAGGUAUUCAUCAAAAGAAAUUGAGGAAAAAGUAAAGAUAACAUAAAAUAAAUUGUUAUUUGAUAUAUGAAAUAUGGGUUUUCAUUAUGCGCUAAUCAAGAUAAUAUAUUUGAUUGUAGAUGUCAAGAACUAAUGAAUUUAAAAAUGUUUGCAUAGUAAGCGAGGAGCUGAUUUGUCCGCUUGAGCUAGUACCUGAGCCGAAAUCUGUUGUGCUAAUAGAGAGUGAUCUAGGCAUGGAUCUUCAGUUUGAUAAGGAUAUGAAGGAAGAAGUGUCAGCUAAAGUAGCUUACAAUAAAGCAUCUGAAGCUAUAUAUUCUGAGAAGUUAUUUGGAGAUGAACCUAUGGUGAACUUAAGAAGUGAUCAUGAAAGUAUCCAGAAAUGGAACUCAAUGAUGAAAUGGAAGUAAAUUCCAAGGAGGCUAAUAUAGAGCAAGAAGUAGAGUCAGUAAAAGAAAAAAGGAAAAGUGCAACAGAAGCUGUGAAUGAUCAACUAAUGAAAGAAGUACAAGAUUCGAAGCAUAAGGUGUUUUUCUUGGAAGAAAUGUGGGAAAGGGAAAGAUUAUUGAAUAAUAAAUUGGAGAAGGCGUUAAGUGAGAUGACGGAUGAGCGUGAUGAGUUGAAUGUGAGGAUUAACGAAAUGGGAGUGAAAAGCAAUAUAAGUGUUGAAGCUUAGAAUAAGAAGAGAAAAGAGAAUUGGAUUGAUAGAUAGGAAAACCAUAAGAAAAUGGUAAAUGAAUGUAAAAAUUAAGGUAGAAACCACAUUGGUGUAUGUUUAAAAGGACAUAAAGUAUGUUUUAAUUGUGGGCAAAAAGGAUCAUUUUUCUCCCAACUGCCCCAACCCAAGGAAAUGAGCUUGUCUCAACUAUGGAUCAUUUGAGCAUAUAGUUAAGAAUUGUUCGAUAAAAGAACAAGUAUAAAAUGAUGUAUAAGCAUAUGAAUGUUAGGGUGUUUAUGUGUUAUGUGAAUUCCAACUUGUAAUAUAAAUAGCGAGAUAUCUUUUGUAAGUAUUAACUGAUAUAUAAGUUGAGGAUUCGAAUAUGUUAAUCUCAUCUUUUGUAAUAAAUAGAUAGAUGAAAUUGUAAUUAGCCAGAAGGCUAAGAAGAAAGAAGUACGUAAUUGAAAGAAAGUAGUAAGAGAACAGAAGUAUGUAAAUAAAAGUAUAUAUGUUGAAGCAUAUUAAUAAAAGAUAUUUAUUAAAUAUGCUUGUGAUGAAUAUGUGUUAAAAUUGAAUAAAAAUACUUAAAAGUAUGGAAAUAAAAUAAUAAUAAUAGUAUUAUUUUAUUAACUAGAAGAUGUAGUCGAGAAAAAGGCAUGGAGUACAAGAGAAAAGGUUAAGAAACGAAAGUGAGAAUGAGAAUAGGGAACGAAUUAAUCCUAUAUAUUAAUUAUGUUGAUUUUGGGUACGAUCUAUUGAAAUUUUAUAGUAUGAAUUGUUCGAUGUUUAAGUUUUAUUCUAGAGAAUCUAGAAAGUUUUUUUGAGAAUAGAAGAUACAAGUAAGGGUAUAGUCCCUGAUGUGCAUAUUAAUAGAAAAUACUUUGUUAAGGUUGGAGAGCAUGAAGUUAUGAUGAAAUUAAUUCCGAUUUAUUGUUAAUGAUUUGAUGAAAAAAAUGAUUUGGUUAAUUAACCAUAGAGCAAUGUAGUAAUGCCAGAAGAAGCUAAGUGAACCUUAAUACUGUGAAACAGUAUAAGGUAGUAUGCGGUGACAGUAAGUUGUCGAGAUGUUCUCAUUGGUUGAGGUUGAUGAUAUAAACUAGAAAGGAUGUUAAGAAAUAAAUGUGAAGAUUAUUAAGGUUACCUUAUGAAUAUCCAAAGUAUCAAAACAGUAAUAGGUUAGACAACCGUAGUAAAAGAAAUUAUGGGUGUUUUGUUCGAAUAAAAUACUAGGAUCAAUGAUUUCUUUAAUCUGUUGAAAGGAGUGGAGUAUUUUUUUGAGGAUAAAUUUGAGGAUCGAGUAUUAUUAGUUAAAAAUGAGUAAAGAAAAUGUUCUGAGCAUAUCAUUAUGAACUUAUUAUGAUUAUUACUAGUCUUGGUGAAGUCGUUUGGAUUGAGGAAUGUGUUAGCUGCAUUUAUAGAUGUAUUGAAUAGAGAAUUCAAGCUAUAUUGGACAAAUUGAUAAUAAUAUGUAUAGGUGAUAUUCGACCCACAUUUGAAGUAGGCGCCCUUCUUUGGGUUAGGGCAGUUAGGUGCUAUGUGGCUUUCCUGACCACAAUUGUAGCAAACUCUUUUCCCUUUCAUACAGACCCCCAGGUGAGCUUUCCCGCAGGUCGGACAUGCUUCAAUCCUCUUCUUCAGACCUCCUUGUUGAUUUCCAGUUGACGAGUUGUCAGUCCGCCUCCUUUUCUGAUUGUUACUUCCUCCCGUGUUGCUGCCACUGACCUUGUUAUUUCCCUCAUUUCACUCUUCUUCUUCUUUUGAUCCUGAUUGUACUUGGUCACCGCAUUGCUCCCACGUUCAGCGAGGAUGGCCUUUUCUAAUACUCCAGCAAAAGUAUUCAACUGAAACAUUGACACUUUGCUAUAUAACCAGUGCUUCAGUCCCUGUUCAAACUUUCUUGCCUUCCUCUCAUCCGUGUAUACUUGAUACGUGCGAACCUAGCCAACUCAUUAAAUUUUUUCACAUAGUCUGAUAUGGACAUAUUGCCUUGCUUUAAUUCCUGAAAUUUUACCUCCAUUUGGUUCUGCGAGUUUGUCAGGAAAUACAUCUCGAAGAAUAUCUCCUUAAACCUUUCCCAAGCGAUCACACCUUCUCCUCCACGGACCUUAUUUGCUUGCCAACAAUAACUGGCCUCUGAUUUCAGCAUGAACGUUGCGUAGGUAGUUUUCUGGUUCUCUCUGACUCUGGCGACGUUAAACACUUUUUCCAUCUCCAUAACCCAAGUUUGAGCUUCUAUUGGGUUCAUGAAGCCUUUAAAUUCUGGCGAUCCCACCGCCUUGAAGUCCUUGAACAUUAUAUUUGGUGGAGUUUGAGGUUGAUUGUUAAUCUCUCCAGCCAAUAAGUUCACCAACUGCUGAACAGAGUUAGCAUUGGCGUCGUUGUUGUUGUUCGUGCAGUUGACGGUUUGGUCUUCUUCUUGGCUGCAUUUUUUUGUUAAAAUAUACGCUUAUUAGGUCUUUAUUCAAUCCUCUAAAUAUCUAAGGCUUAACUUAAACAUUUAAACAUAAUAACUCAACACGUUAUCUCAAAUAAACUCUGAUAUUUUAUUUAAAUCGAAAGUUUUUAACAUACUAUGAUAACAUCACUGCUAUUUACUUCAACUAUCCCGAGAUAAAGAAUCUUCAGGAUUAAUCAUUAUAUUCCAUUACUUUUAUUUACAUUGGAAUUUACAUCAUUAACUACCAUAAAUAUCCACUUAAUUCACACUGUUCCUAUCACGGCCUAUUAACACGUCGAACAACUUCUUUGCGCUCUUCUUCCAUGAUACGAAACAUCGUCCUACGAUCCAGCAUGUACCAAGGUAAGUCCUCAAACUGAAUUGGAUAGUACAUAUCUUGAUCCUGAGCUUUGUUCACCAUAGUGUUGAAUGAACAAUCCAUCUCCACCAUCUUGACCUUCUUUGCUUGCACCUCUUCCUCGGCUACAUCUGCUCUCUGAGAAGCCUGCUCUUAAGAAUCUUCAUCUCUGGCUCGCUUGGCGGACUCUUCUCUCAAAUCAUCCUUCAGCUUUGCAACCUCUACCACCAGCUCCUCAUUUUCACCCCCUAAGUGAACUAAUUUCCACUCCACAUUUCCAAGACGUGCAUCAAGCCCUUGGAUUUCCUCAUUCUUCUAACCUAUAGUGGCUUGGCAUGCAUAUGCCAAUCCCUCUAACUCUCUGACUUUAUCCAGCAACUCAUUGGUACAGUCAUACACCUCGUCAUGCAUCUGAGCUGUAAUAGAGUUCGGUGGGAACUCAUCUUCCUCCUCUUCCUCCUCAGGAUUAGUUUCAGACACAUGCUCCUGACCCACAACAGUGAUCAAUGGAGAUGGCUCUCUCUGUACCAACUGCUCCCGGACAACAUGGAUGUCUCGGGGCUCCUCCUCUCUAGGUACUCGGGGUUCCUCCUUCCCCAGCUCGACUAGAUCCUCCAACAUCCGACAUCUUGACAACAUAGUUUUAAGUUUUAGUUACUAAUCGAUACUGCGAUCACAUAACUUUAGCACAUAAGCACAUAAAGUCUUUUAUUAUAUUCAAUGAAUUACGAAAUUCAAUUUCUUAGAACUCGAUAAGAGUUUAUCACCACUAUGUUCUCGAUCUCUUAUAAGGCUACUACCUAAGGUUUUUCCCCCACCUAAGGUUUAUAACCUACAGCUCUGAUACCAACCCGUGACACCCCGAAAUUCGGGUACUUCAAUUCCCACGGAAUUUGGUGUUCACUAUACAAACAUCAUGCAUCUAUCUACCCAUAAUAAAUGAAAACCAUAAAUAGAUAGAAAUAAAUCCUCUCCUUAUGGAGUUACAACAUCUGAUUUUAAAUACAUCAAUCCCAGGUCAUACUAACCUUAAAUCUCAAAUGCGGAAACAAAUAAUAAGUCUUACAUAACUUAAACAUAAGUCUGAAACAUAACAUAAAAAAUAAACAACAAGUCUUCAUCACUUGUUGAACUUGCCCUUGCCUUUGUUAGUAGAAGGCUCGUCGGACAUUUCGUUCUUAACUGCAAUGUUAUUAUUACGCAACAGUACUGAGCACGAUUAGCCACAAGUAUAAUAAUAUAACAAUAAAAUAAUAACAUGCGAAUGAAUCAAAGACUUCUGAAAUAAGAAACUCGAUUUUUGAAUCAAGAAUGAAUAACAAGAAUCAAAAGAACUUCUGAGGGUCAUAAGACCUUGAACUAUGUCCUAGGUUGUCAAGUGUUUAUACUUGAAACAUUUAACAGUCAUAAGACUAUGGACUCUUCUUCUCGUACUUAGGGGGAUCAACCCUUAAUACCAUACUGUGCACAAUAUCUUAAUGCUAAAGAAUAAUUAAUCCCCUAUAACAAGGUUGUUCAUCUCAGUUUGACAUUAGAGUCCGCACCAAAGGAAGUUGGUUUGGAUAAGCUCAACAAUGGUUCUGAAAUUUAGAACGUUCAUCAAACAUGGACUAUUUGAAUCAGUAAGGGUUCGCUAGUCUUACAAGGUUCAACAAUAAUUGAUAUUAAAUUUAAAUAAUAAAAAUUCAAGAGAUAUACAAUAGAAUAUGUAUUGUGUAACAGGAAUCAUGCUUUUAAAAUGAUAACAUCUAAUAUAAAAUCUUGACUUGAACAAUAAUAAACAAGAUAGAAUAAGGAACUUUCUUUAUGUAAAGAAACAAGAUUUAGGAACUAGCUCAAAUAAAGUUAGGGUUAAAGAACUUGCCUCGUGCGCAAGCUAUAGUUAUAGUUACAAAUUAAUUUUUCAACGUCCUACACAUUACAUGAAUUCACAACAUUCAUUAGUUACCUUCAUAUUAACCUUAUAGGUUUAGUUCCUUCUUUUAAAUCUAAUUUGUUAACACAAUUCAAAUUCUGACUUUUGAAUUAACGUCACGUUACCAAUUUGAAAUCAUAAGGCUAUCAUAGCAAUGUAACCUUUAAACACAUCUCAAGACUUAAACAAUUAACAAAUUAAAGCUUUUCAUAUUUAUUAACUUCACAAUUUGAAAUCAUUGAACACAUGCUUAUAAUUAAUUAUAAAACCUCAUUACAUGUUUAACACACUAUCAUGCACCUUAGACUAGGUUAGGCCAAUAUGUCAUGGUCUGAAAACUAUAAGAAAACAAACUGCUUCUGCUCAUGAGAGGGCGCAGCUGCGCCACCCUAAGCCUUGGCACUGGCGCAGCUACGCUGGUGCUCAAAACUCAGAACACUCAGCCGGCGCAGCUGCGCCGUUUUUGCCUUUGGUACUGGCACAGCUGCGCCGGUACGCAGACAGAAACUUGCAGACUGCGUACUCUGCUUCACAGUAUAACCCAAACAAUGCAAUUUCUCCAACUUAACGGAAAUUUAACAUACCUUGAAGCUAUACGCCUGUUAACCACAACACCAAGCAUGCAUAUCAUGAUUCUAGUAAUAUAACAUCAUACAAAGUCAACUUUUAAGGAUCAAAAUCAUGUUUUUACUAGUUUUCUUCAUAUUUCAACAUAUUUAGCGAAAUCAACCACUAAAUAUUCGUUUCAUAACCAAAUCAAGCCAUUUCAGUUGGAUUCUUUUCGUAAUUCAACAUACUAACAUAUUUUGAAAUCAAUUUACAGAUUACAAUAAGAAUUGAACACUAAUUUUGGUUCUAAAUUCAUCCUUUUUGUACUUUUUAUAACAAAACCCCAAUUUUUAGUUGAAAACCUAUUUCAUACAAAUUUAACUUCUGAAAAUCGUUUCUAAUUCACAUAUAAUAGAUUAUAUCUAUUAAACAACAUAAACAUCCAUUGUUCUAACAAAUCAUCAAUCAAAACUCAGAUUUUGACUUCAAAAUCAUAUAUUGUUACUAUAAAAUUAAAAUCCCUCUUUUAAAACCAAAGUACAUGGAUUAAUUCACCUAAAAUCGUUUAUAAACAUCAUAUAUUAGAUUAUUCAUGCAUAUAACAAUUUAUAACAACUUUUCAACAAUUAUUCAUGAAAAUUCCAAUUACAGAAAGCUAAAAGUCAAUUUUUAUGAAAAGUUCUUAAGUACGUAAAUUAAAAGUUUAGAUUAGGGAAUUACCCUUAAUUUCUCUGUUAAGAUGAUAAGAACUUCCUUCUUGCUACUACAAUUUCCUUCCUCAGCAAUAAUUUUCUCUCAAUUCUCCCUCUUUUCUUUCUGAGUUUUCUUAGACUUGUAAAAAAAUAUGAAUGAACAAUGACCUGAAGACGUAUUAAUUAACCGGUGAGUCAUGGGCAUCAGUUAAGCACAACGGGGCCUUAACUGCUCCCAUGUUCUUUAGGCCAUGUUUGGCUUGGACAUUAAAUCCCCUUCUAAUUUAUUUUAAUUAAUUUAUUAGUAUAUAGUUUAUUUGACACACUUUAAUUAAUCAAAUAAUAUUAUUUAAACUCAAUUAAAUAAAAGGCAAAAUUACUUAUUAAAUCAAAUCAUCACAUAAUUAAAAUUCUCAUUUAUUAAUUAUGUCAAAUCAUUAAAUUUCUAAUUAAUUAUUAAAUUAAUUAGAAUAACAUUAUGCUUAUUAAAUAAUUUAUUUAACCAAAUAAGCUUAAUUAAAUACAUAUUUUGAAUUAUAAAUUCUCCACAUUAAUUUAAUAAAUGUAACACAUAUAACAAAAUUAAUCUACCACAAAUUUCUUAAUAAUUAUUUAGCCAAAUAAUUAAAUCAUCAAAAAAAUAUUUAUUUAAUUCAAUAAAUAUUCAAAUUAAAUUAUAAAAAUCUCGUUCGUCACAUCUUUCCCCCCUUAAAAGGAUUCUGUCCCCAGAAUCACAACUCAAUCAAUUCGUCCCGUUACAGAGAACCUGGGAUUUAGAGUGAGACAUAUUAUAAUAAUUAGAAGUUGCAUUUAUAUCAUUAUUAUUAUGUUAGAUGCCAAGUACCAUGGAACAUUAUAUUCAUAGUUUAAAGGUACUCGAAUUUGGGGGCAUCUUAAGCAGCGCUGUAUAGCAGCCACAUGUAUGCAAAAUGCGCCACACGCCGCUCGCACACUGCCUAGUCGCCCUUAUUUCCAGCUUUGGUGAUCUCAACGCCCCUACUUUGGCACUUCAUAACUAGGUUGUAUGAACUCAGAAUUAGUCCGUUCUUGAGGCUAUAGCUUGUUGGGAUUGUACUUUACAAAACCCCAUAAUAUCAAAAAUUUUUGGAAACUCUAAAUUAGCCAAAACAGUGGUCCAAAAGUCCCUUCUUGCGCUGAUUUGUAGUUUGGCAGUUUUGACGCGCCUACUUCUGAACGUCAUAACUCAUUCGCUCGACAUCGGAAUGGCUCCGUUCCGGAGGCUAUAGAUAACUAAACUAGUGUACUAUACAUACCAGAAAAUCAGAAGUUUCAAGAAACUUUAACCAGCCACGAAAGUAAGCUAAAAGUUGACAGUCACACUAAUUUUUUUUUGUUUUUAACUUUCUUUACUAAAUCAUUGACCAUAAAUUCAUUUUAUCUUCUUUUUGCUUCGUUCCAAUUAAGUUAUUUUCGUAACUCAUAAGAGUACACUCCAUUAUUAUAGAACUUAAUUUUUGGUUCUAUACCAUUAUAAAUUUUGGCUCAAGAACAGCCCCCAAAAAUAGUUUCAAUAAGUUCUUGUUUUUACAUGUUGUAAUAGAAAAUCCGCCAUGAAUUCGUUACAACAGAUUUUAUCCCGUUCCAAUUAGGCGAUGUUUGUAACUCAUAAGAGCAUAUCUCAUCACCCUAGAAAUUAUUAUUUAGAUUUGCGACACCACAAAAAAGGCCUCCAAAACAAGCCCUUAACAGUCCAUAAUUCAUCCUUAUGCAUAGGUUUGUAUUUCUUUUUUCAUUUUUGUUCCACUUUUCAUGUUGUUUACUGGUAGUUUACAUAUAUAAACCACCUUAUACCUCCUAGAUCCUUCAUGAUCUCAAAUAAUCAUAACAACCACCAUCAAAACUAAUAAAAAACAUAACAGGAUGGAAAAUUGGUCUAAGGUUUUAAUAUUACCUCUUCUUGCUUUUUCAUGUUCUUCUUUACAUAAUCUUGAUGAUUAAAACUUAAAGCUUGCUAGAUCCUUGCUCUUCCUUGUCCCACUUCCACCCUUUGACUCUCUCUCUUUCUCUUUAUUCAUAUAAACAAAUGGGGGAGACAAGCAGUAAAUGACUUGCUCCCUUUGGCACAAAACUUACUAUCAAUGGAAAGUUUCCAUCCUCUUUUGCCUCCCUCUCAUGCCCGGUUCCUCCUUGGGUUGUCACGAAAUCCAUAAUGCCAAGAACAAUUUUCACUUGCUCUUUCCAAGUAGUAAAAUUAGUCCCAUUUAAGGCUACAAUUCUAGAGAGAUACCCAGAAAUACUAGUUGGAGUCAAUACUAAAACAUAAUCAAGCUCAUAAGCAUACUUACAAAAAACUAAAAGAAAUUCACAAUGUAUAAUAAUAAUUAAUAAUUAAUCAUAAUAAAAUCAACUGUAAGGCAAGUAGUUAGUUACAUAAAAUCUAUUUACAACACUCACAAAUAGAUUUUAAUGAUAUGUUGGUGCAUAAUUAUCAAUCUUUCAUUGGUCCAAUUAAUAAUAUGUUAAUAACAUCCCCAUAAAAUAAUGCACAACACAUUUAUCCACAUAUCACCGUUGAGCAGAAACGAAAAAAACAUGUUACAUAUGAAAUAAAAUUUCAUUUAAUAAAUUCUAAUUUUAAUUUUUCCGUUGGGUAAAUAUUAAAAUCUUCAUUUAUUAAAUAUAACAUUAUGCGACUUUUCCUAAUAAUUAAUUGUUUUAAUUAAUAACCCUCUGUUGAGCUAAUUAUUAAUUUUAAUAAUAAAAGAGACACAUAUAUGCAAAUUGUUAUGACCAAACUUAAUUUUCUUUAGAUAACAUAUUAAUCAAGUUUGAAAGUUAACAUUAUUUAUAAUUUACAUAUAGCAACUUAAAACCCCUAAUAAUAUAUCAUGUUCCAAAAUCUACAUUAAGAUACAUAAUUAUGAACAUGAAUUAAUUACUGAAUAUUCACAUAAAAUCUAAACUUAAAAUAUAAUGACAUAAUAUAAAAUAAUAUUAUAUAAACAUAAUCAAAAAUUAAUCCAUAACCAUUACUAACUGAUCCAACUCACACAUAAGUUUAAUAAGCAGAGCAUGCAAUAUCCAUAAAUUGAGAUCACAAUACAUAAAGAAACACUUUAUUAUCAUGAAUAUAGGAAUUGAGUUUUAGGUAAAAUCUAGUUACGCACAACACGCAAGUAUACGUGGUCAACAAGUAUUAAUGUGAUGAGUAGAGUAUCGUUCCCACGGAGAAAAUAACUGAAAUUUAUCCUAACAACUACCAAUGUUAUAUUAUCCCCAUUUUAUUAAAGUAAUGAUCUAGUUUGUGAAAUUUAUAAAAACUACUAAUUUAAGAAAAAGUAACUAACUACCACAAUGUUUAAUCAAGAUUUUGUAGAAUUAAGACUACAACUUUACUUAAUGAUUCACUUAGAAUGACACACUUCCUUUUAAUUCAAAUUAACUAUUCCAGAUUGUUAAUCAAGAACACAACAUCAGAAAUAACCAUCUCUCAAUGCAUUAUACCCAUAUCAACUUAAAUCCACAAUUGAUGGACUUAAGAAGAACACCCUAAUUAAUUAAUUCACUAUAUCUCUAUGCGAAUUAUAAUUAAAGAAGGUUUAAGCAUAAGUUCUUAUUAGAUUACGUGCGAUGCGUAGGUAUAUCUCUAUCCUAAGCAUAAAAUAUGAAUCCCACAAUCAUGUAAAAAUCACAAUCACAUGCUACUAUGAUGAGAUCUAAACCCAUAUUCCAUCUCUCGAGUUCAUAUAGAUUAUCAAGUAAUUGGUGAUCAAACAAUUAAAUAAUUAAGCAUAAACCAUAGUUGACAAAUCUGGAAAAAGUCUCAAUGAAUUAAUGUAGAAGCAUGUCAAUCCUCGUUACACAAAAAGAUCCAUUGUAGACUUAAAUAAUAAAUUAGUUCAUGCUGGAUGAAUAAGAAACUAAAAUCCACAGAGAGAAUAACAUUCUGAAUACAAGGAUAAUAGUGAAGAUAGAGAAUAAAAAUUGUAAUGUCCACUGCUUCUCUUCCUCACGUUCGCCUUGAAUUCUUCGUCCUAGCUCUCUGCUUCAAUCCUCCAAUACGUGAUGUAGAACUAGAGUUUUAUUAAUGAUACUCAAUAUCCCCUCUUUGCCCUUCUAUCUCUUCUUUUUAUCUUUCCAAUAGCGCCCCCAAAAAUCUCUCAGCAACAGACCUCCCGAAUCAUAUCAGAACAAGGAAACCUCAAGUCAACUGUCGUGUAUCUCGCCGUGGCAUAAUUGCCCACUUAAGAAAUCCGCCCCGGCGCAUUUACGCCACGACACGCUUUAUUAGCUUUGAAUCUGCGCCCCGUCGCACUUGUCCCAACAAGAGCUGAAAUUUCUUUUUUUAUACUGAUUAUCCUGUUCUCGCUCGCACAACCUGUUCCUGCAUAUAAACAACGAAAACAAGUAAAAAUGCUACUAAAAUCGCUCAAAGUAGCAACGAAUCAAGCUCAGAAGGUAACCAAUUCAUAGGUAUAAAACUCACUCAUCAAAUACCCCCAAACAUGAGACUUUAUUUGUCCUCAAGCAAAACACAAAUGCAAAUUCACACUAACUAUGUGUACUCAACAACCACAGAAAACAACUGCAGUUCAAAUAUAACACAUAAUAUGCUUCUUAGAGGGAAAAACAUAGUUUUAAUCUAAGAAAAUCUAUCACAGGCUAAUCUCCGACCAAAACUAUGUACUUUACCAAGUCAGAGAUUCAUACUCGAUUCAAUUCUUUAUAUAUUUUUUAUUUUUUUUCCGACGGGAGCAUUUUGCUCUUUUUCCCAUGCUUCAACUGUACACAUGAUUGUGCAAUGCCUAGUUCUCUUAGGCUUUUCAAUGUUACCCAUUUAGCGAGCUUUCGACCAACGACUCCCAAUCCAGACGGCUUUAGAGCACUAGGUGUAAAGACAUCCCCUAGGGCGUACUUACUCAAGUAACAAUGGCCAUCGAACUAAACUAGUCACGGUGUUUAUUCAUAUUUUUCUUUUAUUUUUCUGAUUUUUUUUACUAAACCCCGUAUCUUCCCCCAAACUUAGGUUUUUGCAUAAUCCUAAUCUUUACUACCAGUUCAUUGAAUUUCCUACAUUAUAACCAAAGUUUCCCUCAAGAAGACACUUAUGUGAAAAUUUCAACCCAAUCAAUCAACAUAGUUAUCAUACUAUGCUAUCAAGUUACAUUAGUUUCAAACAAGCAAAGAUUUACUUCAAGCUAUGAAGUUACAUCAAUGUCCUAAUUAUAGAAACUGAUCACUAUUUAAUUCCAAUUUCAUCAUAGACUAAGUUAAUCCCAAACUAUCUGACAAGCUGGAAACAUGCAACAUGAAUAACUAUGCAAAACAACUAAACUAAACACAUAUUUUUGUGAAUUUCAAGGCUUUAUAUUUUUUUAUUUUUUUUGUGAAAACACAAACAACACAAUUUUUUUUUUGAAAACACAAACAACAACUACCAUGCAACUAUCUACUAUGCACAAUUAUGUAAACUCUCUACUAUGCUCUACUAUGAAAACUAGGUAUGUUAUGCGAAAGGAAUGUCUCCCAACUUAAAUGAGGCAAUGCCCUCAUUACAAAAAGAUAAAGAAUUAUAGAAUACGAAGCACUACCUUGAUUGGUCAAGCAUCAGGCUCGACCGGUGGCUCCUCGACGGGCUUCAGUGGGGGGUAGACUGGUAAUGGUUGUUACACAAGGAACUGAAAAGGCUAAGUAUUAGGGUCCAGGCGUGCCAUUCUUUCCAUUAACACGACAUUAAAGUUGUUCUGAGUAGCAAAUAUGUGAUCCUGUCGUGCCGCUAAACGCUAAAAUUGUUUAUCCUCUAGUCUAUUCCUUUCAUCGAGAUAUUGCUGGAGACUGCGAAAUUGAAUGCUGAAGGUGGCUUUUGUGCGGGCUAUGUUGCAUGGUCUGACCUGAUCUUGGUCGUGGUCCUCCUCGUCGUCAAAAUUUGCAUCCUCUUCUUCAUCGUCAUCUUCUGAAUCAGAAGAGAGGGUAAACCCAAGACCUCGUGGAUGAGAUUUCCCACCUUCCCAAACCGAAUAACGCUGAAUCAUCUUGUAGUCCAGAAGUUGUAACGGUUUCUAGACGGGCUCAUCUGAUUUCCAUUUCACCCCUUCCCUUUCACAUAACGCACAAAUGAGAGAAGUAUAAGUUAAUCCAUCUUGGAGAGGACCCCGUAGAUUUUGGCGAAUGGAAUGAUGAAUUAUUCAGCCCACAUCUAUCGAGCGAUCCUUGAUGAUAGUGUAUAAUAGCACAACCUUCUCCUUUGGAACAUCGCUGGUGUGUUGAGAGGGCAACAGUUUGGCAAACAAGAAGGAGUACCAUAUCUUUCCAUACAGACUGAGAUCCUUACUUUUAAAGUGAGACCCAUUCGAGGACCAUGUAGAGUCAGGCUUUCAUAACUCACUUAGUAUUUGGUCAUAAUUUGAGCCAUUUUCAUUAUACUUUGAAUAUGAACAACUUAAUUGGGAGGGAAGAUUGUAAAAGUCAUUUAUUUCUUGCAUUUUGAAUGACACCAUCUUACCCCUUACGAAUGCAAAAACUAGUGAUUUGUCAGUGGCAUUCGCAUAAAAUUGUUUCAUUACCACCACCACUGUGGCAUCCGGCUGUGCAGUGAAUGUUUCCCAUCUUCUCUCUCAAAUUUGGUGGACCAUAGCCCCGUCAAACUCAUUAGGGCUUAGUCCAUGCCCCAGCGUAAGGGAUUUGGAGGCUAGGUAUUUGAAUCUGAAAGAAGGUGAUUUUCCGUGUCCAUUACGUUAACAAAGGUCGGUAAUAUAUAUCUAUUAAAAGAGAGAAUCUAGGCACUAAUUAAGGUAACAAAUUUUACACCUAAUAUACAUAAAAGAUAAUUAAAGAUUAUUGCUAUAUUUACAUACAUGUUAUCACACCCCCGAAGUCGAAGCGGGAGGUUUUCGUACGCUGAGACUGUCCCAAAAAUAUUCAAAUAGAACCAAUGGAAGACCUUUUGUAAAAAUAUCGACAAUUUAAUAGCGCGAUGAGACAUGUAAGAUGCAUACUUGUCCACGAGCAACCUUUUUGCGGACAAAGUGAAUAUCCAUCUCAAUAUGUUUAGUGCGCUGAUGUUGAACAAGAUUCCAGGAGAGAUAUAUUGCACUAACAUUAUCACAGUAGACCAAUGUAGCCUUCUGAAUAGGACAAUGAAGUUCCAGAAGAAGGUUUCGUAACCAACAAGACUAAGAAACCACAUUGGUGAUCGCUCGGUAUUCGUCCUCUACACUAGAUCGAGACAAAGUAGUCUGUCGUUUCGAUGACCAAGAGAUCAAAUUAUCACCAAGAAAUACACUAACCAGAUGUCGAGCGUCUGGUAUCUGGACACCCACCCCAAUCAGCGUCUGCGUAGGAAACUAGAGUGGUUGUCGAAGAUGGAUAUAGAUGCAAGCCAUGGUCUAGAGUGCCCUGAAUAGAGCGAAAAAUACGCUUUAGAGCAUGCAUGUGUUCCUCCAAUGGGUUAUGCAUGAAUAAAAAAAAUAUGUUGGACAACAUAAGAUAUGUCAGGUCUUGUGAAAGUGAGAUAUUGCAGGGCUCCUAUAAGAUUGCGAUACUGUGAUGGAUCAUCAUAUGGUAUGCUAGAAGUAGCACUUAGCUUCGGUUUAGUAUCAAUCGGUGUGGGACUGAGCUUACAAGAUGACAUGCCAGCCCGUUCUAUGAUCUCUUAAGCAUACUUCCUUUGAGAUAAAAAUAGACUACCUGUAUGACGAGUUACAUCUAUCCCCAAGAAAUAACUCAGUGGCCCCAAAUCUUUCAUAGCAAAUUCUGAGCCGCAUCAGUACCUUUACAGAAGAAUUAUCAUCCACAUACAAAAGAAUGUAAGCCAUAUCAGUACCUUUACAAUAGAUGAAGAGAGAAUGAUCAGACUUGCUGUGAGAGAAUCCAAUAAUAGAAACAUAAUCCGCAAACCUUUUGUACCAGGCCCGUGGAGCUUGCUUGAGCCCAUACAAAGACUUCUUCAGCAAACAAACAUGGUCAAGAUGUGUUGGGUCUCGAAAACCCAUUGGUUGAUGCAUGUAUACAGUUUUCUUAAGUUCUCCAUGUAAGAAAGCAUUCUUCACAUCAAGCUGGUGAAUAGGCCAUGCUUUAGAGAGAGCUAAACUGAGAAGAGUGCGUAUAUUUGUCGGUUUAACUACCGGGCUAAAAGUCUUGCCACAAUCCAUGCCAACCUGUUGAGUUUUUCCAUCACCUACAAGUCCGACUUUAUACCUCUCAAAAGAAUCGUCAUAUUUUUCCUUAUGUCUGAAAAUCCACAUAGAAAGAAUUACAUUAACAUCAAGUGGAUGGGGCACCAAAUCCCACGUCUUAUUUUUAAUAAGAGCAUUAUAUUCAUCAUCUAUAGCCAAUUUCCAAUUCGGGUCAUGAAGGGCAGACACGGGGUUACGAGGUAGAGGUGAUUUAGUAAUAUGGGUAAGAAAAUUGUACUUUUUGUUGGGCUUAAAAAUCCCAUGUUAACUCCUAGUAAAUGGUAUGUGGCCUGGAAUGGGGGGAGGUUUGAUGGAGACAUGUGGCUCAGCAGCAGGGCUUGGAAAAGAAAGUGGUUCGGUGUGCGUUGGGUUGCUAGGUGUUGGACCCGGAGGACUCAUUUAACGAGCUGGGUUGCUGGUGGCUGGGUGAGGGUGAGCAGGAGAAGUAGGCGAGUUGGGUAUUGUCUGGCUUGGGCUACUUUGUGAGGCCAAAUGAUGGACUACAUGAGGAGAUAAACCAUCCUCCAAAAAAUUGUAUGUGUGAGUUGAUGUAGUAUGCACUUUAGCAAAAGGGAAUUGGGUCUCAUCGAAAAUGACGUGGAGACUUAUUAUGAUUUUAUUUGAGGAUAAAUCAUAGCAUUUGUAGCCACGAUGAUGAGAUGGAUAACCCAAAUAGACACACAGGGUAGAGCGGGCUUGUAACUUGUUAAUUGUAGUAGAUGGGAAAAGAGAGUAGCACAAGCAACCGAACACCCUAAGAUGAGAAUAGGAUGGAUCUUUUUGAUAGAGAAUUUUGAGAGGGGAUUGAUAGACUAAUUGUUUACUUGGAAGGAUGUUGAGAAGGUAGGUUGCCAUUUGUAAUGCAUGAUGCCAAAAUGAUGGUGGUAAGGAAGCAUGGGCAAGUAAAGUGCGAACAAUGUUGUUAACGGUUCAAAUUUUUCUUUCGGCUUUUCCAUUUUGUGAUGAAGUAUGAGGACAAGAAAGAUGAAAAGACAAACCAUUAGCUUUACAAAAUUCCCAAAAUGGCCAAUUAUCAAAUUCCCUACCAUUAUCACAUUGAAUGUUCUUUAUUUCCCGUUCAAAUUGAGUGCGGAUGAAUGCUCUAAAUGUUAUGAAAGUGGAAAAAGCUUGAGACUUUUUAGACAGGGGAAACAUCCACAAAAAAAUAGAGUAAUCAUCCAACAAGAGGAUAAAAUAUAUAUGGCCCGAAGAGCUCAAAACGGAAGAUGUUCAAAGAUCACUAUGGAUAAUAUCAAAUGGCAUAAAAGUGCAUGAAGUAGACACAACAAAAGGCAAUUUAACAUGUUUUCCAAGUGAGAAAGAAUGAAAAACAUAAGAACUAUAAGUUCCAUUACAUUAAAUAAAUUUAUUUAGCCUAAGAGAUUCAAAAACAGGUGCUCCCGAAUGACCCAAACAUUCAUGCAUAAAGACGGUGCUAAAGAUGCAAAAGUUGAAGGUGAGGUGGCUUGAUUUGUGGUGAUGGUGGUGGUGAUGGGAUAAAGCUCGCCCCGACUACCUCAUUAGACACAUCCCCAUCUAAAAGUCCUUCACAGAAAACCCAAAAGGAUCAAAUUCAACAGAAACUGAGUUAUCAGUAGCAAACUUCUGAAUUGAACCUAAGUUUUUAACAAGUUGAGGAGCAUGAAUGACAUUCUUUAAGGAUAAAGGUGGGUUUGGGGGAGAUAAGUUUGUAUGACCAUAACCAUGAAUUGGAAUUGAAUAACCAUUUUCGACAAUUAUACCACGAUUAUUUCUCAAAUUAAAUUAAGACGAGAGAUUACCUUGUGCGGAUGUCAUAUGAGAGGUGGCUUCAGUAUCCAUGUACCAGUUUGCAUCCAGAGGAGAGAGCCCAAGUGUGUGCAUCGCGACCUCGAUGUUGGUUGGAGGAGGUUGUGCUACGGUAAAAUAUGCUUGCUGAGGGCGUGGGCCUCCAGCCUGCGUCUGCUGAGUCAUGGGCCUGGCCCAAGGAGCUGUUGGGUAAGGACAAGGAGGAAUGGCCCAUGGCAUGAAAGAACAUGGCCACUGCCGGUCCAAGGCUGCCACUAUUGCUGCAGGCUGGGUCGCUGCUGAUCCUCGUCGUAGCUACCACCGUUGCCACUGUCGGUCCGGCCGCCACAGCGGCCAUCGCCACGAUUUUUACCGCCUUUGUGGCGGUUUUGACCCUUUUUACCACCACCGUUGAGACGGUUUUGAGGGUAAUUGUCAGAGGAUGAAUUAUCAUCGGACUCUCUUGCAAUCAUGGCGGCAUUCGAACUCGUAGUGACCUAUUUUUCUAAGCCCGCCUCUUCAAGAGUGAGCAUGGAUCGAGCUUGAUAGAAGGGUGGAAAGGGAUUUCUUUGACGAAUAAGUGUUCCCACCCCCCUAUAUGCUUCGGUGAGGCCAGCUACCAUUUGAAGGAUGAGGCGGUUGUUUGAGACCGGAGCUCCUACGUUCUUGAGUUGAUCUGACAAAAUCUUGAGCCUUUGACAAUAUGCGGAGGCAUUAGGGAAAUCCUCCAUGUUUUUGUGAGAGAAUUCUUGCUCAAGAGUCACGACACGUGAAUUUUUGUUGUCUUGGAAUAUAUCACGCAACCGAUUCUAAGCAUCCAUUGUCGUUGAGUCGGGUUCAAGAAUCGUAUGCAAUAAGUCAUUCGAGAUUGUUGCAUAAAUCCAUUGGAGGACCAUAGCAUCAAGGGUCGACCAAAGUUCUUUCUCAUCGUCAGUUGUAGGCACUUUUUCUUUGCCUUCGUCCUGUGGAAUGAUAUGGUUGAUGACCCGGUGAGAGCGUGCGUGAAUUUUGAAGAGUUCCGUCCACGUCGCAUAUUGGAUGUUUUCCAACUCAAGAGUAAUGGAGAUAUGGUUCUUAAUGUUAGAGACAUCAAAAGUCGGGUGGAAUAAGGAUUUGGAGUUAGGUAUGGUGGCUGACGGAAAGAUAUUGACGACGAGAAGUAAAUGGUUGGCAAAACACCAGGGCGCGGCGAAAAAAAGGAUGGAAGAGAAGAGGAUUGUGCCCUAGGGCUUUGAUACCAUGAAAGAAGGUGAUUUUCCGUGUCCAUUAUGUUAACAAAGGCCAAUAAUAUAUAUCUGUUACAAGAGAGAAUCUAGGCCCUAAUUAAGGUAACAAAUUAUACACCUAACAUACACAAAAGAUAAUUAAAGAUUAUUGCUAUAUUUACAUAUAUGCUAUCAGAAUCUGUUCGCCGCCUCCGUAUUUAAGAAUUUUCGUCUAUCAAAUUGCCGGACGGGAGUGGAGGAACCCUCACCUCGCUACCUUUUGGUUGCCUUUAGUGCCAUUAGAUGAGAACUAAAUUAUUGAACCCAACUUGUUUUAAUGAAAGUUCCCUGAUGUUUGGUACCCACUCACUUUGUUUCGAUGUUCGUUUAGGCUCUGUAUCCAACACUUGGUGGCAGGUGAAAUAUUGUAAUCGAAUUUACCAACUGCAUAAGCUGUGUCUAUCAACUAAACUGUUUCCCCAAAACAGCCUAAAUGGUUGGUGAGACAAUUUGUCGAACACUAAGUGUGCAGAGACAAGUUCUUCACAAAUCCCCCCAACUUAGUGUAGGAUUCAACCAACUACCAGUCAAUAUAGUCAAUAAAUGUAGAUAUCUCCAAAAGUUAAGUACAAUGUGCACCAAUGAUACUACGUUUACCAAUUGACCAAAUACAAAAUUGCAAAUUGGAAGAAGUUCACAACCACCCAGUAAAAGUAUGCUUACCCAGUUGAAUGAUGAAUUGGAAAUCAACUACUGUUACUGUUGUUGUUUACUUGUAUUCAACCCUUCGUUACGGUGUGUAUGUUUGCAAUUUCGCUCAUUAAUGACCAACAUAUGAGAUGCUCAUGUUACCGUGUGUUUGUUGUGCAUGCGAUUUUUGGAAGAAAUUUGAGAUAGAUAUGGUGACAAUUUGAUGAGACAAGGUUGGGGGAAAUUUUUCAAAAGUUAGGGCUCUAUUUCGUGUGUUUUAAAUGAAGAGGAGUGUUAUGAAGUUGGCUGAAGGAGGGAUUUUAAAAACUAAAAAUUAUAUUUCUUGUUAGGGCGAAGAUUUUUGUUCAGCAAACUUCGCCGGGGCUAGAUCUGGCAAAGACUUUGCGACGGGGCGAGUUAUUUUUCCUUGUAAAACUGAGUAGGGGUGAGAUCUGGCAGAGACUUUGUGUCGGGCGCAAUUUCCAUUAUUAAAUUCUUCGCCGGGGAGCAAGUCUGGUUUUUUGGAAAAAAAAUUCUUUCACUUGCUGCUCAUCUCGACUGUUCAGAGAACUUAUCACCCCCNNNNNNNNNNNNNNNNNNNNNNNNNNNNNNNNNNNNNNNNNNNNNNNNNNNNNNNNNNNNNNNNNNNNNNNNNNNNNNNNNNNNNNNNNNNNNNNNNNNNCCCCAUUUACUUCAUCCUCAUGUUUCCCAAUGUGCGUUGCCCUCUGAAUACAUGAGAUGGUCCACAUUAACAUGGAUUAGAUCAAGCAAUUUGGAGAUUGUUCAUGAAAAUUUAUAAAGCAAAUAAAUCCUAGAAAUUGAGAUCCUAAACUAACUGUAACUAUCUAACUGUAAGCAAAUAAAUACAGAAAUUUCUGGGUUGCCUCCCAGUUAGCGCUUGAUUUAAAGUCUUUCAGCCUAAUUACUCUUUGUUUCAUCCUGGAUCGACGAGGUCAAUCGAGGUGUUCUGGCGAUCGAAGUCACAACCCCAAUAGUUCUUUAAGCAUUGUCCAUUGACUUUGAAUGUUUUCACCGAAUUUCGGCUAAAUAAUUCAAUAACGCCGUGCAAAAAUACUGUUUUGACUAUGAAUGGGCCCGACCAUCUAGAUUUAAGUUUCCCAGGGAAGAGUUUCAAUCGGGAGUUGAAUAAUAACAGUAUUGCUUGGCCCGGUUUGAAGUUUUUGUCCAAAAUUUUCUGAUCGUGCCACCUGUUUGAUGACCAGAACAGUAUUGCUUGUCAGUGUUCUUGAGCUCAAGAACACCUAAGACGACAGAAAGUGUUGCUAAAGGGCUAUAGCGAUGGUUUUUAAUAUUUUUAUUUUCUGAUUUUCUGAAAAUUAAUUAAAAAUAGAAAUAAAUUAUAAAAAUUUCCAAAAAUGGUUUUAAAAAUUAUUUUAAAUUAUGAAAAAUAACUUUUGAUUAAUUGGGAUAUUUUUUAUUAAUAUUUAUAAUUAUUUGAAUAUUAAUGAUAUUUAAUAUAAAUUAGAGAAAAAUGAUUUUAAAAUUAUAAAAAUCAUUUUAAAUAAGAACAAAGUGUUUAAAAAUAUUUUGAGUUAUAAAAUGUAACUUUUAAUAUUUCUAGAGAAAUUUUCAUUAAUAAUCUAAUAUUAAUAAUACUAGAUUUAUUUAAAUAUUGUAUUAAAUAAAUAAGUUAAAAAUGAUUUUAAUGAUUUAAAAAUUAUUUUAAAUAAGAAUAAAGUGUUCAAAAAUAUUUUUAAUUAUAAAAUAUAAUUUUCAAUAUUUUUGGAGAAUUCUCAUUAAUAAAUUAAUAUUAAUGAUAUUAGGUUUAUUUAAUUAUUAUAUUAAAUAAAUGAUAGAAAAGUGGUUUUAUUGAUUAAAAAAUCAUUUAAAAUGAGAAAAGUGAUAUAAAAAUAUUUGAAGUUAUAAUUAAUGACUUUUAAUAUUUUGAUGAUAAAUUCAUUAAUAUUUAAAUAUUAAUGGUGAUGAUUUAAAAAUAUUUUAAGUUAUUAAUAAUAACUUUAAUAUUUUGACAAGUAUGUCAUUAAUAUUUUUAUAUUAUUAAAUAUUAAUGAUGAUAAGAUUAUUUGAUAAUUAAAUCAUUUAAAAAUGAUUUCAGUGUUUGAAAAAUUAUUAUAAAUUAUAAUAAUUGUUUAUAAAUUAUUAAAAGCAUCCGAAAAAUAUUAUAAAUGAUAUUUGACUUAUCUGAAUAAUAUUGAAGCUUAGAGACUAAGUUUAUUUGACAAAUACAAGUGUUAAUUGUUGGAUAGGGUGACUAGUACAUAGACUGAAGUCCAACCAGACCGAACUAGUUAGACUUAAUAAGUGUUUAUAUAGGUUAUAAACACUGAUGUGAGUAUGUGGUAAUAUGUCUAGGAGAAGUAUUGACUGUAAAUUACAGUAUUGUGUGUUGUGAAUUAUUGUGCUAAUUGUAAGACCGAUAUGGUGAUUAUAGGUCUUUCAAACGCAAAUAAGUAUAUUGUGUAGCAGUAAUCAACGCGAAAGGCAAGUUUCUUUAACUCACCCUUGAGUUACAUCUGUUUAAUUACUAUGGUGGUUAAUUAUUAUUGAUUAGACCACGUCCAAGAAUUUAUUGUUGAUUAUUCGCAGUUAGUGCAUGUUUAUUAAUUCAAAUUGAAUUAGUGAUUCUGAGAAUAUAUAUUUGUCAAAUAAUUGUUAUUGGAUAUUCACAUCCGUAGAAUCUAUUAGUAAAUGUAAAUAGUACAGAUAAUUUCUGUCUAUUGUUGAAUCGUGUUGAGAAAUGUCUUAGCCAAUUGAUCUGGCUGGACGAAUACUUGUUAGAACUUGAUAGGUUCAAGAAGAGAAGAGAAGAGAAUUCAAUUAUUAUUGAUAAAUCGAUGCCAAUUGUUUUGGCUAGAUCGAAAAAGAAAACUUGAUAAGUUUGAGAAGAUAAGAGAAGAGAAGAGAUUAAAUAUUGAAAUCAUCGUAUUUCGUUGUUAAAUCAAAUACUGAUUCAAAGACUGAGAAGAACAACCUUUUAUAUAAAGGGAACAUUUUUGGUCGUAUAUUCGGCCUUUGCGCGCGUGUAAGUAUUAUGCAUAAUAUAAGGUAUAAUAAAGUUAAUCACUUGUUAUAAUUGCAGAGGGGUAUGAUUUAAUCUUUAUGGUUGUCUGAUACACCUGCGUAUAUAUCAAAGUAAAACUUUGAUAGAUACCCGAGAAGAGAAGUUCUAGAUCCUUUGUGAUCACUCAGCAUAAAUCUGGAAAACAUUCCACUUUGUUAUUGCAUAGAAUUGAUUCUUGUUUAUUCAUUAGAAUAUCGUAGAAACUUUGAAAGCGUUGUACUCUUUCAUUAUCAGAUUAUUGUGUUGCAUAAAAUGCGAAAAGACGUGUUAGUUAUUAAAGCCUUGUUCAGCUAUUUCAAAGUUCCCCGAACUUUGGAGUUAUUCUAUCAAAUUAGAUAGUCUGUUCUUAUUGAUUCUUAUACAUUUAUUGUAUGUCUUAACUUGCGGGGCAAACUUGUUGCUCACCCUUGCUAAAUAACAUAUUUCAGCUAGGAACGAAGAGGCCAGCGGGGCUAAGAAGAACAAAGGCAAAGGCAUAGUGCUGGAGUAGUUUUAUAUUAAGCAUAUUUAUUAUGUUGUUAUGUAAACCCUUUUUGUAUAUCUAAAGGUUAUGUUUGUAAUGUUAAGGUUAGAUGACCUAGGACUAAUGUAUUAACAAUAUCUGUUAAUGAGUUAUGUAUUACUAUUGAUAAAUAAUGGGUAGUUAGAUGUUAUUAUAUUGUGGAUCGUGAGCACCAAACUCGGGGGUCAGGUAACCCGGAUUUGGGGGUGUCACAGGUUGGUAUCAAAGGUGUAGGUUAUAAACCUUAAGUGGGUGGGGAAAACCCUAGGAUUAUAACCAUAAGCAAAAUCUAGAAUACUCAUUUAGAGUACUAAGUGAGGGAUUGUCGAAGCGUAUCGAUAGUGAGAUAUGUGGACACCUAGUGUGAGAAGUUCGUACUGGAGAAGUACUAAUCAAGUUAUUAAACUGAGUAUGAUGUCUGGAGAAGAUGAAAUGAGUACAGAAGUGCUAGCGGCGGUGCACCAGUGCCAGUAGUCGAGGUGCCAGCGCAAAGCGAGUCAGUUGAAGAGGUGAGAAAAGAUGAACCUAUGAUCCAUCUGGGGAGUGAUCAUGAUGAUUAUCCCGAGAUGUAUCUGAGUGGUAAUGAGGAGGAUGAGACCGAAGAAUCUAAGGUGAAGAAAGGGAAUAAGACUUAAAUUGGAGAGAAAGAUCAAGAAUCUGCAGAAGGUCAAGAACUCUGGAGUAAAGUAUUUCUCUUGGAGGAGUUGUGGAAGACGGAGCGAGUGUUACGCGAAAUGACUGAAGAAAGGAACGAGUUGAAGGCGCAGCUGGAAAGGAUGAAGACUGAAGGUGGUGGAUCGUCGGAAGGAACAGUCAAGCAGAAGGGCAAGAAUAAGAGAAAGAGGGAUCACGACAGUGAUAGUUCUGAAAAUUCAAACCUGAAGAAGAAGCAAGUCUGUAGCGAGUGUGGAAAGACUCACGUGGGGAGAAUGCAUGAUGUGGGAGAAUGCAUGAUGUUGAAGAAUGUGCGCUUCAAUUGUAAGCAGGAAGGACAUAUUUCCCUACAUUGUCCUAAGCCGAAUAUGAGGAAGUGUUUUUCAUGUGGGAGAACGGGUCACAGAUUCAACAAGUGUUCAAACAAAAAGAAGAUUGGUGAAGGGAGUGGACGGUAGACAGCUUAAGUUAAGCGAUAAUAUCUUUUGAUAGUUUGUGAUAUUAACGAUUGUGAUAUCGAGAACUAUGUGUGAACAUAUGUAAAUAUAUAUGUUUGUGUGAAUGAAAUCUUUAUUUUCUAUAUGAAUAUAAGAUUAAGGUUAAUUUGUGAGUUCUUAAAACUCAUACUUAUGGUAAGUUCAUGACUCAGAAUUAUAUGAAAUGUUUUGAACCCCUCAGCGAAUGGACGCCAAAGGUCUGACUAGGAUAAGUUCAUAAACUCAUAUAAUUGUGGCAAGUUUGAACUUAUAAGUGUGGUAAGUUUGACGAACUGGGAAUAGUUAUGUGUGAAUGGAGAAUUACAACUUUUGUUUAAAGUUGUGUUGUUAAUCCCGAUAUUAUUUAAAAAGGGAUAGUGCUAUGUGUUAAGUGCUAAAUGUACUGUGUGCUAUUUGAAUAAAUAUGCGAUUAGAUGAGAAUUUUUUUUAAAAUUCUUAUUGUGUUAUUAAUAAGAAUUUGUAUAGAGAAGGAGAAUUAAUGUAAGAUUUUAAUCAGAUAAUGCCGCCAAGGAAGGGAGGUCUAAAGGGAAAUAUGGAAGAACAAAUUUUGAAUCUGAAGCAGAAAAAAAUGACAGUGACAUAAUAUUUUGUCAAGUUCAACGAGUUAGCUAAAUUUGCUCCACAUCGAGUGGACACUGAGGAGCUUAAAGCACGAUGUUUUAGGAACAGAUUGAAAUCAUUGGUACUCAAGAAGUUAGAUGUGCUGCAAAUUAAUUCAUUUUCAACUUUAUUAGAAAAAGCCAUUAUCGCUGAGGGAGAAAUUGAAGCUGUAUUAAAGAAUAGUCAAGAACAAAGAAAGGAGGCUGAAGGAAAUAAUAUGAUAGGUGGUAGUGGAGGUAGUGUUCUUAAUAAACGUAAGAGGGAUGGUGAUGUUAAUUCAGGAAAAAAUCCAGAAGAUAUUAGGAAGAAAGGUGCGCCGUGUGCAGUUUGCGGGAAGCAUCAUCAAGGAGUUUGUUUGAAGAAACAAAGAGUCUAUUAUAACUGUCGCCAAAAGGGACACGUGUCUCCCGAGUGUCCCAUUCCAAAGAAAACACAAGGUUGUUUUGCGUGUGGAUCGACCGAUCACCUGGUUCGGAAUUGUCCGAAAAGGAAUAAGGAGAAGUGGAGUGCCAACAAGGGACCCGGUAGCGAAACCUUGGCGAUUAAAGAAUCAGCUCAGCAGGGAAGACCAACAUCAUACACUUUUAGCAUGACAGUUCCAAAUGCAGCAGCUGUCCAUGAAAAGGUGACAGGUAACGAGUUCGGUUAGAAAUUAAAUUACGCGAGAAAUACGAGUUAGAUAUUGCUGUGAAUUGUUUUCUUUUAUAGAUCCAAGUCACAAGUUAGAAUUUGAGACACAGAUUAAUAUUGUGUUGAUAAGAAUGAAUUGAUGAUACAACUUUAAAAGAUUGGAGAGAAUAAGAAAGUGGUGAUACCGAGGACGGAAUCCUUUUAAGGGGGUGAAUGUGAUAACCCGGGAUUUCGAAUAAUCCAAAUUUUUUGAAUAAUUUUUUUUUAAUAUUAAUAUUGACUGAUAAUAUUGUGUUGUGUAUCUGUGAUACGAGUUUUGAGAAUUAGUCAAUUUAUGUAUUGACUGAGAAAUAAGAGUAGAAUUGUGCUUAACAGCUUUAGAAACCCUAACCCUAAUUCUGGAAAGGGAAUACGAUAGAAAAUACAAUUAAAAUUAUUGUAUUGAUGAUUACGUGUUUAGAAUUUUUGAUCAAUGAUUGAUCGGAUAAGGGUUUUAAAUUAGUAAACCCUAAUAAGGGAUUAGAAACCCUAAUCUCAGAUCUAGAAACCCUAACGCACGUUAGGAACCUUAAGCAAAAGUCGGGAAACCCUAAUUUUAAAAUUCAGGAAUCCUAAACCCUAAUUAGGGAACCCUAAUUAUAUUUUUAAAAUCUUAAUCUUCUAUUUUAAAACCUAAAUAAAAAAUCCUAGAAAUUUAAAGUUGUAAAACCUAAGGGUUUGGACAAAUGUCAAGUAUGCCAUUAAAAUUAUAUUGCAAUUAUCCAAAUUGCCCUUUUUGGAUUUCUUUAAUAAGUUACUUGUGAAUCUUGCUAAAAUUGUAGUUGUUCACCAACUAUUGUUGACAUUGUGAUUCAAAUCUCAGCAUAUCAGCCUCUUAUUGACAGCUAGAUCAACAACAUACAAUGUAUCUAAGUAAUAUAUAUAGAUUUGAGAGAGAGAAAAUCACAAAUAUUAAUCAUUUUGCUAUCAAUCUCUCACCAACUCUUUUUCUCUCUAACCCUCCAAAAUUAUCAAGUAUCUCAGCCCCUAACACAGCUCUUAGAUCACUAAGAUCAGUUAAGGAAAGCAAGAAUCAAAGGUUAAGCUAGAAGGUAUAAAACCCUACCUCACUUUGAUCUUGUAUGCUUUGUCAAAAUUCAUGUUUAUGUGUUUAGAAUCGUGUUGAAGGAUGUUUUAUGAUGAUCUAUGAUGAUCCAUCAUGGACCCAUAGCAUCAAAGACCUUAAAAAUUAAGUUUUUUAAAAACUGUUCUUGAACCCUAAAGUUGUCUGACAAGCUAAUGUCAGUCGCACUAGAUCUUUCUGUGUUUAUGAUUUUUGUUGUUUUACGUGUUAGAUCCAUAGUUUGAUAUGUGGUUUUUGUUAUGCAAGUUAAAUAACAGUCAUUGGAUGUCUAUAUUGAAAGUUAUAAUCGGUCAAAACCCGUUGACCAUGCAUGACCAGACGAAUUCUGGGUAACCCAGAAACUCGUUUCCAGCAUCUGACAAGAUUUUUCAACGCCUUGAUCUGUCAGAUGUUAGUUGAUAUUGUGACGCCCCCAAAACAGGUAUACAUCACCCAUCUUGAGUCGCCAAAUAUAUGGUACAUAAAUCAAAUACAAACUUAAUUAUACAACUUUCGUGUAAAAUACGAUAAAACAUAAUCUAAGAGUUUCAAUAAGAAUAUUGUCAUCUAGACAAUAUCCACACUCAAUGGAGUCCUCAUUACAUUUAUUGUCACACUAUUUUAUAGAAUAGUGAGAACUACUAAAACAACCAUCUGGACCGUCAAUCCGUUCCCUGACUCGUCCCAGCUAUAUUCUCAUUUCCUGAAGAGAACCGUGAAAGAAAGGGUGAGCUCAACUAGCCUAGUAAGAAAUAUUAUGACUAAGAUAAUGCAGAAUAAAUUAUCAUUAGCCUUCAAUAGUAUAACAACUGAUAGAAUAUAAUAGACAACAAGUUUUAGAUCAACAACUACAGCGGAAUAAGCAAUCCAUUAGAAGAGUCAAGUAGAGCAUAAAAUCUACUAUCUUCUAUGAUUUAAAAAUUAUUUUUCAUCAACUUUAUCGCUGAGACUCAGCUUAAUAAAUAAACCACAUCAUCGAAGCAUCCCUGCACCACGACCAAGGAUAUUCAUGUAAUCAUCAAUGGUCAUGAUUAUACCGAAUAAUCCCUGGUCAUAAUCAUACCAACAACUGUCCAUCAAUGAACUAUAGGCCAAUGAGGACUUUUACCACAUCAUUCGUUACAUUACGGUAAUGAUUAUAUCGAAUAAUCCCUUGUCAUAAUCAUACCAAGUCCAUCUAUGCACGUAAGCCAAAGAUGACUUUCAUCACAAUAUAAGCAUGAGGAUGAUGACAAUAACAUAAUAAUUCAAUAAAAAAAGUUCAAGGAUAAAUUUUAAAGAUUUAUAAUUUAAUUUAUCCAGAAAUCAAUAACGUCCAAAUUGUCAACAUGAUACUGCUUUGUAGAGUAAAAUUCAAGAAUAAUAUUCAUGUACCAAAAAUAAUUUGGACAGAAAAGAAAUAUAUUUUUCGGGUGAAUAGUACCCUGGCACAAAAAGUGUCCCGAAUACCCGAGUGAAUGAUACUAGAGUGAAUAAUAACCCGUGAAUAGUAACUCAUGAAUAGUACUCCGGCACAAAAAGUGCCCCGAAUAUCCGAGUGAAUAAUACUAGAGUGAAUAGUAACCCAUGAAUAGUAACUCGUAAAAGAAAAAUACCAAAGAAAAUGAUAUUCCAUGACGAGUACAAAAGAAAUGAUAUCUCAUACGAGUAUAAUAGAAUAUACNNNNNNNNNNNNNNNNNNNNNNNNNNNNNNNNNNNNNNNNNNNNNNNNNNNNNNNNNNNNNNNNNNNNNNNNNNNNNNNNNNNNNNNNNNNNNNNNNNNNNNNNNNNNNNNNNNNNNNNNNNNNNNNNNNNNNNNNNNNNNNNNNNNNNNNNNNNNNNNNNNNNNNNNNNNNNNNNNNNNNNNNNNNNNNNNNNNNNNNNNNNNNNNNNNNNNNNNNNNNNNNNNNNNNNNNNNNNNNNNNNNNNNNNNNNNNNNNNNNNNNNNNNNNNNNNNNNNNNNNNNNNNNNNNNNNNNNNNNNNNNNNNNNNNNNNNNNNNNNNNNNNNNNNNNNNNNNNNNNNNNNNNNNNNNNNNNNNNNNNNNNNNNNNNNNNNNNNNNNNNNNNNNNNNNNNNNNNNNNNNNNNNNNNNNNNNNNNNNNNNNNNNNNNNNNNNNNNNNNNNNNNNNNNNNNNNNNNNNNNNNNNNNNNNNNNNNNNNNNNNNNNNNNNNNNNNNNNNNNNNNNNNNNNNNNNNNNNNNNNNNNNNNNNNNNNNNNNNNNNNNNNNNNNNNNNNNNNNNNNNNNNNNNNNNNNNNNNNNNNNNNNNNNNNNNNNNNNNNNNNNNNNNNNNNNNNNNNNNNNNNNNNNNNNNNNNNNNNNNNNNNNNNNNNNNNNNNNNNNNNNNNNNNNNNNNNNNNNNNNNNNNNNNNNNNNNNNNNNNNNNNNNNNNNNNNNNNNNNNNNNNNNNNNNNNNNNNNNAGAGAUAUGAUGCAGCAAUUACUGUAGCAAUAAUUGAGUAUAACUGAGUGACUUCUUACGUAAGCAUCAAUAAUCAAUACCGUGUGCUACUAUGCAACCACGCGUAUUACUGUACUUUUACUACCGGGUAGUUCAACAGUUUUAACGGUAACACUCACCAUUAUUUUUAUAAAAUGAUAAUUUUGUCGUUUUCUUACUACGACAAUACUUUCAUUGUGGGGUCCACCAAUGAUUGUGCCGUCGUACGGAUAUUCCCCGAUAAAAAGAAUAUUUUAUAACAACUUGUAUACUUUGCAAAAAUUUUCACAUAUCACCCUUAACUUUAACAUUUAUCAAUUUAACCAUUUACUAAAUAACAUAAUAAUUAUAAGAAAAUUGAAUACCUUUAUUUCAUAAAAUUCGGGGUCUUACAAUCUCCCCUCCUUAUGAAAUUUCGCCCUCGAAAUUUAAGUACGUACCUAGUAUGCCGAAGAGGUGAGGAUACCUUGACUUCAUUUCAGAUUCUAACUCUUGAGGUAUAACAUUUGAGUGUCGAAUAUAAUCCUUCUUAUCCAAGAUUUUAACACGUAUCUCCUCAUACGUUAAAUCUUCUGUUAUCUCGUCUAGUUCUAAUUCAAUAAUGUGGUUCGGGUCGUCCACAUAUUUAUGUAACAUCGAUACGUAAAAAAAACGUUAUGAACACGCGACAUACUUAGCGGUAAGGCGAGUUUAUAAACCACAGUUCCUACUCGAUCGAGGAUUUCAAAUGGGCCAACUAAAUCGAGGGUUGAGAUAACGCCUUUUUGAACCUUCUUCUUCACAUUCAUUAGAUUCGGGUGUGUAGCUUGAGCGACUUUAACUUUAUCGAUUAAAGUCGAUUUUACUCGUAUAUUCGUUAUCUUCACGUGGGUCCCUAGAGUCUUUAACUCUAUCUUCAUCAUUUGUAAGUUAUAGGAAAUGGGUUUUUGUGUUAACAAAGUCACACUCGUAACCGCAUACGAUCUUCUACUCAACGCGUCAGCUACCACAUUCGCUCAUCCACAAUGAUAUUGAAUGGUAUAGUCGUAAUCUUCAACAGCUCGAGCCAACAUCUUUGGCGCAUUAUAUGUUCGUUUUGGGUGAAGAAAUACUUGAUGGUUUUAGAAAUGGGUUUUGUACUGGGGUCAAUACAAAAUUUUAUUUCACGUUCUGGGGGUAGGCCAGGAAGUCUUUAGGAAUACGUCAGAAAAUUUAUUAACGAUAGAAAUAUCAUUUAAAAACUGUGACUCUCAUCCAAGACUUGGAUAGCACAUGAAAUGAAGGUUUCUCCUAACAGAGUUUCAACCGAUAAGUUAAAGUCUAAUUUCUUCGGCGUCAAAUUUAAACAUUGAGCACAAGCAAGAGAGAUAAAAGAAUGGGUAAAACUGGUAUCUAAUAAGGUAUAGACUUCGCAAGAAUUUAUAAUUAACUAACUCGUGCUAACUUCGUUCGGGUUACUCGCUUUUUGAAAAACCACGAAAAACGCUCUUCUUGAAACCACUGACUUUGUUUUGUCCGUAUCCGCCUUUGGUGCCACCGUCCCAGCUGGACUUAACUUUGGUGCACGACAAAAUCGGGCUAAGUGACCUUCUUUUCUACAAUUGUAACAUGAUUUGGAUUGCAUCAUGCAGUUUGGAUUGAUAUGUCCCUCCCCUCCGCAUUUGAAGCAUACAAUUGGUGGUCGUUCUCCUUCCUUGAAAACGGGUGUUGGUGCUGCUGUCUUUCCAUCGUUGUUGAACCUUCUCUUCUUGAAAUUUUCACUCCUAUUAUCUUGGUCAUGAUUACCACCGAAGUGGUUACCAUUCUUGGCAUGAUAAUUUUCCCCACGAUGGUUAUCAUUGUUCCAAUGGUCGUUGCCACCGGUACGAUUAUUAUUGUGUUGUUGUUCGUUAUCCUUUGGUUGGGCUGGCUCAUUAUCGCGCUCCAAUAACUGAGCCAUAUUCACUACAUCUGAAUACAAACACAAUUUGUGAGAAAUGAGGUAUUGACGUAUUUCGGGUUUCAAACCUCUUAAGAAACAUUCGCGUCAUUCGCUCCUCAUUAUCGACCAAAUGGGAUGCAAACCGGGAUAACUCCGCAAAUUUAGCCUCGUAUUGCGACAUGGUUAUAUUAUUUUGCUCCAACUUGAUAAACUCCACCUCCUUCAUGUGACGAAUACUUUCNNNNNNNNNNNNNNNNNNNNNNNNNNNNNNNNNNNNNNNNNNNNNNNNNNNNNNNNNNNNNNNNNNNNNNNNNNNNNNNNNNNNNNNNNNNNNNNNNNNNNNNNNNNNNNNNNNNNNNNNNNNNNNNNNNNNNNNNNNNNNNNNNNNNNNNNNNNNNNNNNNNNNNNNNNNNNNNNNNNNNNNNNNNNNNNNNNNNNNNNNNNNNNNNNNNNNNNNNNNNNNNNNNNNNNNNNNNNNNNNNNNNNNNNNNNNNNNNNNNNNNNNNNNNNNNNNNNNNNNNNNNNNNNNNNNNNNNNNNNNNNNNNNNNNNNNNNNNNNNNNNNNNNNNNNNNNNNNNNNNNNNNNNNNNNNNNNNNNNNNNNNNNNNNNNNNNNNNNNNNNNNNNNNNNNNNNNNNNNNNNNNNNNNNNNNNNNNNNNNNNNNNNNNNNNNNNNNNNNNNNNNNNNNNNNNNNNNNNNNNNNNNNNNNNNNNNNNNNNNNNNNNNNNNNNNNNNNNNNNNNNNNNNNNNNNNNNNNNNNNNNNNNNNNNNNNNNNNNNNNNNNNNNNNNNNNNNNNNNNNNNNNNNNNNNNNNNNNNNNNNNNNNNNNNNNNNNNNNNNNNNNNNNNNNNNNNNNNNNNNNNNNNNNNNNNNNNNNNNNNNNNNNNNNNNNNNNNNNNNNNNNNNNNNNNNNNNNNNNNNNNNNNNNNNNNNNNNNNNNNNNNNNNNNNNNNNNNNNNNNNNNNNNNNNNNNNNNNNNNNNNNNNNNNNNNNNNNNNNNNNNNNNNNNNNNNNNNNNNNNNNNNNNNNNNNNNNNNNNNNNNNNNNNNNNNNNNNNNNNNNNNNNNNNNNNNNNNNNNNNNNNNNNNNNNNNNNNNNNNNNNNNNNNNNNNNNNNNNNNNNNNNNNNNNNNNNNNNNNNNNNNNNNNNNNNNNNNNNNNNNNNNNNNNNNNNNNNNNNNNNNNNNNNNNNNNNNNNNNNNNNNNNNNNNNNNNNNNNNNNNNNNNNNNNNNNNNNNNNNNNNNNNNNNNNNNNNNNNNNNNNNNNNNNNNNNNNNNNNNNNNNNNNNNNNNNNNNNNNNNNNNNNNNNNNNNNNNNNNNNNNNNAAGUAGAGCAUAAAAUCUACUAUCUUCUAUGAUUUAAAAAGUUUUUCAUCAACUUUAUCACUGAGACUCAGCUUAAUAAAUUAACCACAUCAUCGAAGCAUCCCUACACCACGGCCAAGGAUAUUAAUGUAAUCAUCAAUGAUCAUGAUUAUACCGAAUAAUCCCUGGUCAUUAUCAUACCAAAAGCUGUCCAUCAAUGAACUACAGGCCAAUGAAGACUUUUACCACAUCAUUCGUUACAUUACGGUCAUGAUUAUACCGAAUAAUCCCUAGUCAUAAUCAUACCAAGUCCAUCUAUGUACGUAAGCGAAAGAUGACUUUCAUCACAAUAUAAGUAUGAGGAUGAUGACAAUGACAUAAUAAUUCAAUAAAACAAGUUCAAGGAUAAAUUUUAAAGAUUUAUAAUUUAAUUUAUCCAGAAAUCAAUAACGUCCAAAUUGUCAACAUGAUACUGCUUUGUAGAGUAAAAUUCAAGAAUAAUAUUCAUGUACCAAAAAUAAUUUGGACAUAAAAGAAAUAUAUUUUUCUGGUGAAUAGUACCCCGUGAAUAGUACCCCAACACGAAAAGUGUCCUGAAUACCCGAGUGAAUGAUACUAGAAUGAAUAGUAAUCGAAUGAAUAGUAACCUGUGAAUAGUAACUCGUGAAUAGUACUCCGGUACGAAAAGUGCCCCGAAUAUCCGGGUGAAUAAUACUAGAGUGAAUAGUAAUCGGGUGAAUAGUAAUCCAUGAAUAAUAACUCAUAAAAGAAAAAUACCAAAGAAAAUGAUAUUCCAUGACGAGUAUAAAAGAAAUGAUAUCUCAUACGAGUAUAAUAGAAUAUACGAAACUGCAAAUGGAUUUUGGAAGUCCGCGUAGACAGGUUAUUCCAACAGAAUAAUAAAGAAUGGAAUAACAGAAGAAUUCACCAGGCAUGCAAUAGACCGCACAGACAGGUUAUUCCAACAGAAUAAUAAAGAAUGGAAUAACAGAAGAAUUCACCAUGCAUGCGGUAGUCCGCGUAGACAGGUUAUUCCAACAGAAUAAAAAAGAAUGGAAUAACAGAAGAAUUCACCAUGCAUGCGGUAGUCCGCGUAGACAGGUUAUUCCAACAGAAUAAUAAAGAGUGGAAUAACAGCUCUUACGAGUAUUGAAAGAAAAUAACCCUCUUCAUGAAUACAAAAGAAAUAAUACCCCUUACCUUAGAAGAAAACUGGAUACUAGAAUAGUGAGGUAGCAGACUUCUCUUCUUCUUUCUCUCUAUAAUUUCUCUAUAAUAAUUGCUCUUGUGAGACUUAGUGAAUUGGUGAGAAAUGAAGGAAGAAUGAGCUUCUAUUUAUAGGAAAAUAUAGUUUCGAUAAUUGCACGUUUUGGGGCUCGAAAUAUUACAGUAUAAUACCUUCCUCUUUUUCUUCAUUUUUAAUUUAGUCCUGCAAGUAUUAUUAAACUUGCACCACCUCCCCUAAUAGUAAAUCAUGUGAAUUAAUAGUUCAUUUAUGUGACUCAAUAGUAUAAUCAUGUGAAAAAAGCUAAUUACAUUAUAGUACCUUCAACUAUACCUCCAUUUUUAAUUUAGUCAUGCAAGUAUUAUCAAUCUUGCACCAACUCCCCUAAUAGUAAAUNNNNNNNNNNNNNNNNNNNNNNNNNNNNNNNNNNNNNNNNNNNNNNNNNNNNNNNNNNNNNNNNNNNNNNNNNNNNNNNNNNNNNNNNNNNNNNNNNNNNGACAGAACUUCUAGACAUUGUCAAUAUUGCAAAUAAUAAUAUGAAUAACUUUGUCGUCUCAAUUAUUGAUUUAAUAAUAUAAAAUAUUGAUACUGUGACAAUAAUUGAAUCAAUAAUAUGAGAAAUAUGAUGCAGCAAUUACUGUAGCAAUAAUUGAGUAUAACUGAGUGACUUCUUACGUAAGCAUCAAUAAUCAAUAUCGUGUGCUACUAUGCAAACACGCGUAUUACUGUACUUUUACUACCGGGUAGUUCAAUAGUUUUAACGGUAACACUCACCGUUAUUUUUAUAAAAUGAUAAUUCUGUUGUUUUCUUACUACGAAUAUACUUCCGUUGUGGGCUCCACCAAUGAUUAUGCCGUCGUACGGAUAUUCCAGACAAAAAGAAUAUUUUAUAACAACUUGCAUACUUUGCAAAAAAAUUCGCAUAUCACCCUUAACUUUAACCUUUAUCAAUUUAACUAUUUACUAAAUAACAUAAUAAUUAUAAGAAAAUUGAAUACCUUUAUUUCAUAAAAUUCGGGGUCUUACAGAUAUUAUGUUGUUGUAACUAGAUUGUAGUGUAUUGUAUGGACUCUAGAUCCAUGCUUCUAGAUCCCUUAAACAACAAAUCUGUUGGACGUAGUGAAUGGUCAAAGUUGCCCAUCUGAUCACGAAGACACUUUUCUGGAAUUUCCAGAAAGUGUAUGAACAAGGUCUCCGACCAUGUUUGACCGGAUCAUAUCUGGUGAUUAUGUUGUAGUUGGACUGAAAUAGUGUUUUGUAAUUGUUCCUUGGUAUGAGUACUAGAGGUAUGAACCAAGAAUCCACAUGUUUAAUGACCAGAACAUGUAUAUAAUCGAGCUGGAAUAUGCCUACUCGAAUUGCCUGGGUUUUUGGAAAACCCAGGUAACGUCUGGCAGUAACUUUGAAGGAUCGUAUCUUGCUGAUGUGUUAUGGUAUGACAUAGAUGAUGGUUGAUUCGUGUAGUGUUACAUAAAACUACAUGAUCAAUGUUUAGCAUAGCCCAGAAACAGUUUGAGAUGAGAAUCAUAGCCGGUCAAACGAGCAACCUUGAACACUGACUUGUCAGUGUUCUUGAGCUCAAGAACACCUAAGACGACAGAAAGCCGCUAAAGGGCUAUAUUGACGAUUUUUAAUAUUUUUAUUUUCUGAUUUUUUGAAAAUUAAUUAUAAAUAGAAAUAAAUUAUAAAAAUUUCCAAAAAUGGUUUAAACAUUAUUUUAAAUUAUGAAAAAUAACUUUUGAUUAAUUGGGAUAUUUUUCAUUAAUAUUUAUAAUUAUUUGAAUAUUAAUGAUAUUUAAUUUAUUUAAUUAGUGUAUUAAAUAAAUUAGAGAAAAAUGAUUUAAUAUUAUAAAAAUCAUUUUAAAUAAGAAUAAAGUGUUUGAAAAUAUUUUGAGUUAUAAAAUGUAACUUUUAAUAUUUUUAGAGAAAUUUUCAUUAAUAAUAUUAGAUUUAUUUAAUUAUUAUAUUAAAUAAAUAAGUUAAAAAUGACUUUAAUGAUUUAAAAAUCAUUUUAAAUAAGAAUAAAGUGUUAAAAAAUAUUUUGAAUGAUAAAAUAUAAUUUUCAAUAUUUUUGGAGAAUUCUCAUUAAUAAAUUAAUAUUAAUGAUAUUAGGUUUAUUUAAUUAUUAUAUUAAAUAAAUGAUAGAAAAGUGGUUUUAUUGAUUUAAAAAUCAUUUAAAAAUGAGAAAAGUGAUAUAAAAAUAUUUGAAGUUAUAAUUAAUGACUUUUAAUAUUUAGAUGAUAAAUUCAUUAAUAUUUAAAUAUUAAUGGUGAUGAUUUAAAAAUGAUUUUAAUUACUUUAAAAAUCAUUUAAGUAGAAUAUUGAUGAUUUAAAAAUAUUUUAAGUUAUUAAUAAUAACUUUAAUAUUUUGACAAGUAUGUCAUUAAUAUUUUUAUAUUAUUAAAUAUUAAUGAUGAUAAGAUUAUUUGAUAAUUAAAUCAUUUAAAAAUGAUUUUAGUGUUUGAAAAAUUAUUAUAAAUUAAACAAUUAUUACAAACUUUCGAAAAAUAUUAUAAAUGAUAUUUGACUUAUCUAAAUAAUAUUGAAGCUUAGAGACCAAGUUUAUUUGACAAAUACAUAUGUUAAUUGUCGGAUAGGGUGACCAGUACACAGAGCGAAGUCCAACCAGACCGAACUAGUUAGACUUAAUAAGUGUUUAUAUAGGUUAUAAACACUGAUGUGACUGUGGUAAUGUAUCUAGGAGAAGUAUUGACUGUAAAUUAUAGUAUUGUGUGUUGUGAAUUAUUGUGCUAAUUGUAAGACCGAUAUUGUGAUUAUAGAUCUUUCAAAUGCAGAUAAGUAUAUUGUGUAGCAGUAAUCAACGCGGAAGGCAAGUUUCUUUAACUCACCAUUGAGUUACAUCUGUUUAAUUACUAUGGUGGUUAAUUAUUAUUGAUUAGACCACGUCUAAGAAUUUAUUGUUGAUUAUUCACAGUUAGUGCAUGUUUAUUAAUUCAAAUUGAAUUAGUGAUUCUGAGAAUAUAUAUUUGUCAAAUAAUUGUUAUUGGAUAUUCACAUCCGUAGAAUCUAUUAGUAAAUGUAAAUAGUACAGAUAAUUUCUGUCUAUUGUUGAAUCGUGUUGAGAAAUGUCUUAGCCAAUUGAUCUGGCUGGACAAAUAUUUGUUAGAACUUGAUAGGUUCAAGAAGAGAAGAGAAUAAAAUUCAAUUAUUAUUGAUAAAUCGAUGCCAAUUUUUUCGGCUAGAUCGAAAAAGAAAACUUGAUAAGUUUGAGAAGAUAAGAGAAGAGAAGAGAUUAAAUAUUGAAAUCAUCGUAUUUCGUUGUUAAAUCAAAUACUGAUUCAAAGACUGAGAAGAACAACCUUUUAUAUAAAGGGAAUAUUUUUGGUCGUAUAUUCGGUCUUUGCGCGCGUGUAAGUAUUAUGCAUAAUAUAGGGUAUAAUAAAGCUGAUCACUUGUUAUACUUGCAGAGGGGUAUGAUUUAAUCUUUAUGGUUAUCUGAUACACCUGCGUAUAUAUCAAAGUAAAACUUUGAUAAAUACCCGAGAAGAGAAGUUCUAGAUCCUUUGUAAUCACUCAGCAUAAACUUUGUUAUUGCAUAUAAUUGAUUCUUGUUUAUUCAUUAGAAUAUCGUAGAAACUUUGAAAGUGUUGUACUCUUUCAUUAUCGUAGAUUAUUGUGUUGUACACUUUUUCUGCAUUUUUAUGAAUAAUGUUUUAGCGUUUUUUUUUGGAAAAAAUUAUUUUCUCCCAAAAAGUUCUAACACUCAUACAUAAUUACGUAACACGUUACUAAGUCAUUAAUUGACCUUGAAACGCAUAACACAUAAUAAUAUACAUAAAAUUUUCUUUUAUUAGAUAUUUACAUCGAAACCUAAUCACAAGGCUAUCUGAUUUCUCGGGUUGUCACGAAAUCCAUAACGCUGAGAACAAUUUUCACUUGCUCUUUCCAAGCAGUAAAAUUAGUCCCAUUUAAGGCUACAAUUCCAUAAAGAUACCCAGAAAUACUAUUUGGACUCAAUACUGAAACAUAAUCGAGCUCGUAAGCAUACUUACAAAAAACUAAAACAAAUUCACAAUGUAUAAUAAUAAUAAUUAAUAAUUAAUCAUAAUAAAAUCAAUUGUAAGGCAAGUACGUAGUUAGUUACAUAAAAUCUAUUUACAACACCCACAGAUAGAUUUUAAUGAUAUGUUAGUGCAUAAUUAUAAAUCUUUCGUUGGUCCAAUUAAUAAUAUGUUAAUAACAUUCCCAUAAAAUAAUGCACAACACAUUUAUCCACACAUCACCGUUGAGCAUAAAUGAAAUAAAUAUGUUACUUAUGCAAUAAAAUUUCAUUUAAUACAUUCUAAUUUUAAUUUUUCCGUUGGGUAAAUAUUAAAAUCUUCAUUUAUUAAAUAUAACAUUAUGUGACUUUUCCUAGUAUUUAAUUGUUUAAUUAAUAACCCUCUGUUGGGCUGAUUAUUAAUUUUAACCUUAAAAGAGACACGUAUAUGCAAAUUUUUAUGAUCAAACUUUAUUUUCUUUAGAUAACAUAUUAAUCAAGUUUGAAAGUUAACAUUAUUUAUAAUUUACAUGUAGCAACUUAAAAACCUAAUAAUAUAUCAUGUUCCAAAAUCUACAUUAAGAUACAUAGUUAUGAAUAUGAAUUAAUUACAUAAUAUUCACAUAAAAUCUAAAUUUAAAAUAUAAUGACAUGAUAUAAAAUAAUAUUAUAUAAACAUAAUCAAAAAUUAAUCCAUAACCAUUAUUAACUGAUUCAACUCGCACAUAAGUUUAAUAAGUAUAGCAUAUGCAAUCUCCAUAAAUUGAUAUCAUAGGACAUAAAGAAACACUUUAAUAUCAUGAAUAUAGGAAUUGAGUGUUAGGUAAAAUCUAGGUACGCACAACAUGCAAGUAUACAUGGACAACAAGUAUUGAAGUGAUGAGUAGAGUAUCAUUCCCACGGUGAAAAUAACUGAAAUUUAUCCUAACAACUACCAAUUUUAUUAAACCAAUGAUCAAGUUUUUCAAAUUUAUAAAAACUACUAAUUUAAGAAAAAGUAACUAACUACCACAAUGUUUAAUCAAGAUUUUGGAGAAGUAAGCAUACAACUUCACUUAUUGCUUCACUUAGAAUGACACACUUCCUUUUAAUUUAAAUUAACUAUUCCAUAUUGUUAAUCAAGAACACAACAUCAGACAUAACCAUCUCUCAAUGCAUUAUACCCAUAUCAACUUAAAUCCAUAAUUGAUAAAAUUAAGAAGAACACCCUAAUUAAUUAAUUCAUUAUAUCUCUAUGUGAAUUACAAUUAAAGAAGGUUUAAGCACAAGUUUUUAUUAGAUUACGUGUGAUGCGUAGGUAUAUCUCUAUCCUAAGUAUAAAUUAUGAAUCCCACAAUCAUAUAAAAAUCACAAUCACACGCUACUAUGAUGAGAUCUAAACCCAUAUUCCAUCUCUCGAAUUCAUAUAGAUUAUCAAGUAAUUGGUGAUCAAGCAAUUAAAUAAUUAAGCAUAAACCAUAGUUGACAAAUCUGGAAAUAGUCUCACUGAAUUAAUAUAGAAGCAUGUAAAUCUUCGUUACACAAAAAGAUCCAUUGUAGACUUGAAUAAUAAAUUAGUUCAUGCUAGAUGAAUAAGAAACUAAAAUCCAUAGAGAGAAUAACAUUCUGAAAACAAGGAUAAUAGUGAAGAUGGAGAAUAAAACCUAUAAUGUCCACUGCUGCUCUUCAUCACGUUUGCCUUGAAUUCUUCGUCCUAGCUCUCCGUUUCAAUCCUCCAAUACGUGAUGUAGAACUAGGGUUUUGUUAAUGAUACUAAAUAUCCCCUCUUUGCCCCUCUAUCUCCUUUUUUUAUCUUUCCAAUCGCGCCCCCAAAAAUCUCUCAGUAACAAACCUCCAUAAUCAUAUCAGAAAAAGGAAACCGCAAGUCAACUACCGCGUAUCUCGCCCCAGCGUAGUUUACCCCUUAAGAGAUUCGCCCCGGCGAACUUGCGCCACGACGCGCUUUAUUAGCGUAGAAUCUGUGCCUCGGUGCACUUAUCCCAACAAGAGCUAAAAUUUCUCCUUUUAUACUGAUUAUGCUGUUAUCACCCGCACAACCUAUUCCUGCACAUAAAAAUGAAAACAAGUAAAAAUGCUACUAAAACCACUCAAAGUAGCAACGAAUCAAGUUAAGAAGGUAACCAAUUCGUAGGUAUAAAACCCACUCAUCAUUGAGUUCAUAAUACAUAAGAAGCACUUUAAUAUCAUGAAUACAACACAUUGAUAAGUAUAAUCAGGAUAAUACUUUACUUUCGAAAACUUCUUUUUGUAGCAACAAAAUACUUGGUAACGAAAAGUAAGUAUUCAUGAAUCAUAUGACGUAAAAGAAUAUAAGAUGUAAUUUAGCAGAAUAAUGAAUUGAUAUAAAUUAACAUUAUAACCAGUGAAACCCUUUUUUUCACUGAAACAACAUAAUUAACAUAUUCUAUGUAAUAGUGUAACCAUAACUCUGAUACAAAAUAUUAAAUAAAUUUAUAUUGAAAUGUGCUAUUUCAUAGAAUAACAUAAAAUAAAUUAAUCAUUACUUUAAACAAUUACAUUAAUUGAGAGAAGACAUCUUUUAUGUUUUAUGUGACACCCCCAAUUCCGAGUACUUAAAUUUUCACGAAAUUUGGUGUUCACUGUCCAAAACUCAUGUAUCUAUCUACCCAUAAUAAAUGAAAAACCAUAAAUAGAUAGAAAUAUAUCCUCUCCUUGUGGAGUUACAACAUCUGAUUGUAAAUACAUCAAUCACAGGUCAUACUAACCUUAAAUCUUAAAUGCGGAAACAUAAACAAAUAAUAAGUCUUACACAACUUUAACAUAAGUCUGAAACAUAAAUACAUCUAAUAAACAACAAGUCUUCAUCAUUUGUUAACUUUUCCCUUACCUUUGCUAGUAGAAGGCUCGUCGGACCUUUCGUUCUUAACUGCAAUGUUAUUAUUACGCAAGAGUAAGCACGAUUGCCCACAAGUAUAAUAAUAUAACAAUAAAAUAAUAACAUGUAAAUGAAUCAAAGACUUCUGAAAUAAGAAAACUCGGCUUUUGAAUCAAGAAUGAAUAACAAGAAUCAAAAGAACUUUUGAGGGUCAUAAGACCUUGAACUACGUCCUAGGUUUCCAAGUGUUUAUACUUGAAACCUUUAACAGUCAUAAUAUUAUGGACUCUUCUUCUCGUACUUACGGGGAUCAGCCCUUAGUACCAUACUGUGCACAAUAUCUUAACGCUAAAGCAUAAGUAAUCCCCUAUAACAGGGUUAUUCAUCUCAGUUUAACAUUAUAGUUCGCACCAAAGGAAGUUUUGUUUGGAUAAGCUUAACAAUGAUUCUGAAUUUUUUAAACGUUCAUCAACUCUGGACUAGUUGAAUCAAUAAGGGUUCGCUAGUCUUAUAAGGUUUAACAAUAAUUGAUAUUCAAGUUGAUUAAUAAAACUCAAGAGGUAUACAAUCAAAUAAGUAUUGUAUAACAUGAAUCAUGCUUUUAAAGAAUGAUAACAUCUAAUAUGAAAUCUUGAACUUGAACAAUAAUAAACAAGAUAGAAUAAAGAACUUGCUUUAUAUAAAGAAACAAGGUUUAGAAACUUGCUCAGAUAAAGUUAGGGUUAGAGAACUUGCCUCGUGUGUAGGCUAAACGAUUACUACUCCCGUUCACCACAAGUCCUACACACAUACCAUAUGUGUUCACGACAUUCAUUAGUUACAUAAAUACUAACCUUAAAGAUUUUGUUCCCUCCUUUAACACAACUUGUUAACUUGGUUUUAAUUCUGCUCAUUACCAUCAUUUACAUAUACAGGACUUAAAUCUCAAAUCUUAAUUUUAAACAACAUCAUAUCAUCUCAUGGACAUCAUUUUUUUUAACGUGGUUUAACCAGUUACAAAACAUAAUAGUUAUAAGGUCACAAGACCUUUUCUAAUUUAUUUUUGUAAUUCUCUUAUUAUAUUGUCCAUUAGUCACAUUUUCACUUAAUUAUUUAAUAUAAACUCCACUUUAUUUAACAAAUUAUUACCCUUCUAAUUUAAUUACUUAAUUAAAUUAGAAUAUUUUCAUUCUCUCGCUAUUAUUACACUCGAAAAAAUUAUUCCAUAAUAAUUUCCAUCGAAUAUUUAUUUUAUUUCAUAAAUAUUUUAACUAAAAUAUUUAUUUUAUUUGAUAAAUCUUUUAAUAAUAAUUUCCAUCAAAUAUUUAUUUUAUUUCAUAAAUAUUUCAACUAAAAUAUUUAUUUUAUUUGAUAAAUAUUUUAAUAAUAAUUUCCAUCGAAUAUUUAUUUUAUUCCAUAAAUAUCUCAAUUAAAAUAUUCAUUUUAUUUUAUAAAUAUUUUAAUAAUAAUUUUCAUCGAAUAUUUAUUUUAUUCCAUAAAUAUUUCAACUAAAAUAUUCAUUUUAUUUGAUAAAUAUUUUAAUUAAUUAAUUAUUUUAUUUAUUUAUUUAUUUAUUCCCACCGGGGCGGGGUUACCCAGACUCAGUUUCUGCAGUUCGUGAAGAACACAUAACAAGGCCAAUUUAGGCCAAAAAUCUCACACAAGUUCAACCAUAUGUUCUCGUGAAGAACACAGAACAAGGCCAAUUUAGGCCAAAACUUCUCACAGACAAUUAAUACAAUUUCACCCAAAUGUUCUAAACUUAGCAUAAACACUUAAUGACACUUCUAGCAUGUUUUUAACACUUUAAGUCACAUAAACAACAGGAUUUAAAGCCAUAAUUUUUAUGUUCUUGCUAUUUUUCAAAGUUUCAUUAAAUUUCAUGAAAUCACAAAUCACAGAUUCGUUAUAACACCAAAUUAGUUCGUUUAAGGUUCGUUCUUUACAUUUUUAUAUGUAUAAACGUAAUCAUUCAUCAAUUUACCGAUUAAUAUGCAAUUUAAACAUAAUUUUUUGUACUUACAAGUCAUAUUCAUAUAUUUUUCUCUGUAACUAUAAAACUCCAAUUUGAACAUGAUUUCAUGGAUUAAUUACUCUAAAAUACAUAUAGAUCAUAUAUAAUUGAGUUAUACAAGUUAAUACACAUAUACAACAUCAUAGAUUUAACAAUUAGCCAUGAAAAUUCAAUUACAGAAAACUAAAAGCCAAUUUUCAUGAAAAGUUCCUAAGUAUGUAAAUUAAAGGUUUAGGUUAAGGAAUUACCCUUAGUUUCUCUGUUAAGAUUGCUAGAAAGUGGAAGAAGACUCCUCAAUUCUCCAAUUCCUUCUUCAAUUCUCUCAAACUCUCUCUUUUCUCUCUGUUUCUCAAGUUUAGGUAUUAAGAAAAUAUAUGUAAUGAAAGAAAAAGGGAACUUAUAUAUCAUGCGCAUACUGGCGUUGUCAUUGUCGGUUAAUCCCUUAGUGGGUUAACCGAUCAACUUCCCUUAGGGCCAUGUUUGGCUAGCCUCAAAAUGCUCUUUCCCACUUAAUUUAAUUAAACUCUUAUUAUAUAGUUUAAUAAUGUCACACCCAUUUAAGCAAUUAAUUAAAUAUCUUAUUUAAUUAAAUAAAAUAAAAUAGAAUAAUUCCACAUUAAAUCACAUAGUCACAUAAUUAAUUUUUCAUUUAUUAAUUAUGUCAAAUCAUUAAAUCUCUGAUUAAUUAUGAAAUUAAUUAGAAUAACAUUAUGCUUAUUAAAUAAUUCAUUUAAUCAAAUAAGCUCAAUUAAAUACAUACUUUUGAAUAAUAAAUUCUCCACAUUAAUUUAAUCAAUGUAACACAUAUAAUUAAAUUAAUCUACCACAAAUUCAUCUAUUAAUUAUUUAACCUAAUAAUUAAAUCAUCGAAAAGUAUUUAUUUAAUUUAAUAAAUAUUUAAAUUACAAAAAUCUCGUUUGUCACAUUUCACACUUCCGAUUCGCUUAAAUGUGAAAGUCUUCAAUUGCCCCUUUCAAUCUUAGAAUAGAUUUAUAGGUGCGUAUAAAUUUCUUGAGACGACAAUUGGGACUAAACCCAUACUGUUUUAUUUAUAGAAUAAGUAAUUAUCAAAAUCAUUCAUCAAGAUUAUGAAACCGUACCCUAGGGCCCAUUAUGUCAAAUUAGUAUUAGUAAUAUUAUUUAUAGGUUACAUAAUUAUCAAACCAAUAAAUAAAGUGAUUAAAUCAAUACAAUAUGUAAGCCCAAUAAUUCCAUAAAUGUAAGAACCGAGAUUUUUAUAUGAUUAUAUAUGUAAUUUUUUUACGAAUAUUUUUUUUAAGAAAGUACUUGGACCAUAUAAGUAAAUAUGUGAAUUAAGCAAGAUAGUUAAUUUAUUUUAAGUUAACUAAUGUGAAUACUUAAUCAAUUUGAUUAAGGAAAAGUAAGAUAAGUUAUGUUAAAAAUUAACAUAGUUUGAAUGUUAACCUUGAAUGGUAAAUUAAAAAGAUUUACAAAUCUUUAAGUGAUUAAUUAUUUAUAUGAAUUAUAUAAAGUGAUUAUAUGAAUGUAUAAUAAUUCAUCAGGCCAAUUAGGGCUAAUUAAUUUAAAGAAUUAUUGGAACAAAAAGGAAAGCCGGGUAAUAAGUAUUUAUUAAUGAUGAUAAAUGCGUUAUAGAAUAUGUAAUGAGUUAAUAAAUAUAUAUUAUUUAAUGUGUAUAUAUUUUUUUUAGCAUAUAAAGAAAGUUAAGAAUAAAGUUUUGUAACCUAAUAUAUAUUUUAGGAAUGCGAAUUAAAUAACCUAAGUGUUAUAAUAUGGAAUAAUGUUAUUAUUUAAAAUAUAUACUAACCUUGAGAGAUUUAUUUUAUACAUCUCAAUUAGUUAAUUUUAUAACUUAAUUAAAGCAAGGCUAAUUGGGUUAUAAAAUUUAAGAUACAUGAGUAAUUAUUUAAAUUACAAAUGAGUGAAUGAAAACCCUAAUUAAAUGAUUAGGGUAGGAUAAAAUUAAAAGUGUUGGACUUAAUCUAAUUUACAUGGCCCAAGAAAUUAUUUUGGAAGCUCAAAAGAAUUAAGGAAUUAUCCCAAACUUUAGCCCACUUGUUAAGGGAUUUUUGGACAUUUGAGUAAGAAAAAUAUUACAUUAAAAUUAAACCAAAUUGGGAUAAUAAAAUGCCCAAAUUUUGGCCUAACAAGGGAGGAGAAAAGGAGAGCAUGUGGUAUAAUGAUUCAUUUUACCAACUACCUUACUAACUCUCACCAACUCUCACAUGCGUCAACCUUUUAUUUUGCCACAAUGUUUACCAAGUUUACAAGCAAUCUUAAGAAUACAAGCAACAUGAUUAGGGAAGAGAAAAGAGAGAUAAGUUGGGAGAUAACAACUAGAUAUACCAAAUAUAUCUACACCUUUUACUAACACCCAAAAAUCAUUUCAUUUCUCUUUCAACUCAUUUUAUAACUUAGCAAAACCAAAUAGAGAGAGAAAUAGGCUAUUUUGGGCAACCCUUAAGGAAGAGAGAGAGAGAGAGAGAGAGAGAGAGAGAGAGAGAGGGUUUUUUCAAGCCAUCUAGCUUCAUAAGCAAACUUAGAAAGAAAAAGAGGAAAGAACUCAAGCAAAGGUAUACCCCUAAACUAGUUUUUGUAAUUUAUUUUGAUUAUUCUCAAUCAAAACUUGGAUCUACGAUUCUAAACUCCAAAAUCUUAGAUUUGCAUGUUAAUAAGUGCUUUAUGUUUAGAUCUAACCAUUUUGAGUGUCAAAAGUUGGAUCAAGAGAAAAUAAAUGAAAACUAGUUUUUCAAACAUUAGAAAACCCUAACUUUUUAUUACUUUAAUAGGUUAUAAAUUUAGAUCUAUAAUUUUUUUUUUGUGAUCCGUCAAAGUGGGGUGGUAGAUAUGUAAGUUAACUACUAAACCUAAGUGGUAGCACUCAAAAAUAAUGUUUUAAGUCGUGGUGACUGUUUUAGUCAAAACAGUCCAGAUUUUUGCAAAAAGGGUUUAUAAUCUUGCUGACCAGCCACUUCCAAGGGCUGUUUUGUCAUUGUUUUUUACUUUAAAAAUUCUGAGAAAACUUGGAGUGAUAAUAUGAUAAGUUAUCUGAGUCCUGUAAAAAGAUGGGAGUUUUUGGCCAUGUAGAAUGAGAGAUAUAAAUUUUACGGUAAAGAACUACUUUUACAAGUAUGCAUGAAUAAUGCUUUGUGGUAAACUCCAAAAAUUAUGAAAUAUUUACCGAAAGUAUAUGUAUAUGACAGCAACAUACCUUGAAAAUUUCAGAAUUUUCGGACAAAGUGUCGAUUUAUGAUAAAUGUAGCAAGACUUGACUGUUUUGGACUAUUUAAAUAUAGUAAAUGGAUUUAAAAAAUUGCAGGAAAAAUAUAUGUUUAUAAGGGAACUAUAUUCUGUCAAUUCCCAGAAAAUAAAUGAUUGUGUUAUGAAUAAAUGGAAAAAAUAGUUAUGUGAUGUUGAAAAUUAGGAAAAUAGAAUUUUAUGGUUUGAGAACCCUAGAUAUGCUAUAUGAAGAUUUUUGAUAAAAGUUUUGGUCAUUUGUGAUGAGAUAUUAUGUUUAUGGCAUUUUAAGAUGAUUAAAUGAAUUAAUUAGUAAAGGGAAAAUAAUUAAAAUAAUUUGUUUAUAAGUUUAAUAAAUGAUUAAAAUAUUAUUAAAAGAUUAAUAAUAUUAUAUUAAGAUAUUAAUAAUUAAUUAAUAAUAUUUAGAUUAAAGUUAAAUUAAAAUAUUAUUAAUUGACUGAGAAUAUUAGUUAAGGAUUAAAAUAUUAUUAAAUGAUUAAUAAUAUUAAGGAAUAAAAUAUUAUUAAAUGAUUAAUAAUGUUAUGGGAUGAGUAAGAUAUAAUUAAAUAAUUAAUAAUAUUAUGCGGAGAGUAAGACAUUAUUAAAUGAUUGAGAAUACUUGUGAAUGAUUAAAAUAUUAUUAAAUAAUUAAUAAUAUUAAAUGAGAGUUUAAAAUGAAUAAUAAAGAGAAGUUAAGUAUUUUAAGAAUAUAGUAUGAUUGGGCAUUCAAUAUGCUAAAAUUGGGUAUAUAUUAUGCUAAAAAGGAUAAUCCAGCUUGCUAGAUUGGUCAAUUCAGGUUGUUACCUGGAUUGGUAAAUCCAGAUUGCUACCUGGAUUGGAUAAUCCAGGUUGCUGAAUUGGAUAACCCAAGUUUUUAGAUUGGUCAGUUUGUAUAAUCCAGAUUACUGUAUUAGUAUCGACUUACUAGAUUAUAAAUAAUAACUUAUAAAAUGAAAGAAUAAGUGUUAAAUCUUAUUGUAUAUGGUUUAAUGAUUGAAAUAUUAUCAAAUGAUAAUAAUAUUACUAAAGAUUUAAGGUGUUUGAUUAUGUGAUUACAUGUUAGAUAAAUUAUUAUGGAAUAAUGGUAUAAUAAGUAAGAUAUAUGAUGCUAAUUGAUAGAUCAAUCAUAUUAAUGAUAGGUCUUUCAAAAGAAGUCAUAUUAAAUUGUGUAACAAUAAACAACGAUCAAGGCAAGUUUCUAUUCUCUUUUAUUGUGCAAGUAUCUAAACCAUACGCCCUACUUUUAUUUUGUACAAACAGGUAUAUGUUAUGCAAGUAUCCUUACUUUAUCGGAUUUCAUUUGAUUCGUUCAUUUUUUACAAGUAUCUCAUUACUGUCUUCAUAUGAUUCAUAUAUAAUAAAAAUUGUUUUAUUCUUUGUAAGCUAAGUUUGGUUAUGCAAGUGUCCUCACUCGUAUAAAUUAUUGUAUUUGAACAAAUUUUGAUACAUACUAUUGAAUUUCGGUAUGUAUACAUACUUUAAAAGUUGCCUAAGCUAUUUGACUCGGCUACACAUAGUUAUAAAUGUAUCAUUGAAUAUUAUUAUUUAUGAUAAAGUCGUCCAACUGAAUUGUUUUGUUUCGGACUCUAGACUGAGUAUGAACAUCCCAUAAUUGGGAAAUUUUUAUGCGCCAAAGGCGGUUAUGAUAAACGUGAAUAUCGUUCCAGUAUGUAGUGUUGAUUAAUACAGGGCAUAACGAGCUAAUCACCCUCUGUGCCUGUAAGUCAGCCAGUUUGCAAAUGAAUUUCUAUACAAACCUUUUGAAACUUGAAAAUAAUGGUUCAUGGCCUAUUGACGGCUCAGCAUUGUAUAGUCGUUAUGUUGUUUCAAAAAUGAAAUGUCUUGAUAUGUUGUUUAAAUUUGUUUCAAAUGGCCUCACAACUAUUGAUUCGUUGUAGAAGUAUACCUCAAAUAAAAUAUUUAUUUUUUAGCUGAUGUUUAAUAAUUGUUAUUACUUGCUGAGAAAUUAAAUGCUCAUUCUUGCUUUAAAUUAAAUAUUUUCAGCUAAGCGAGAUCGACCAGAAGGUUCUGGCAAGGAUAAGGGAAAGAAGAAGUUGCAUGAAUAAUUAUAAGGUGUUAUUUGUAAUAACUAGACUUUUGUAUAAUGAUAAUAUAAUAUUUAUCAUAUAAUAAUGUACUUAAAGGUCAUCGUACCCGGGGAUUAGAUAACUCUGAUAUAAUAUUUUUAAAUACGUAAUAUAUUUAGCAGUUUAAUAAAGGUAUCGUGUAGCACCAAGUAUGGGUUACAAGUACCCGGAUUUGGGAGGCGUCACAGGUUAGUAUCAG